CGGUUUCGGAAAACAAGAGGUACUAUAAGUUUCAACCUUAUGAUUCUUUUUGUUUUGGUUUUCAAAUAAUAAAUAAUUGUUAUAUGAAUAUUGUUAUCUCUAUGGAAUUUUGUUACAUUUUGUUGUAUCUGCGCUUUCAUUUUUUUUUUUUUUUUUGUUUUAUUUUGUUUUGUUUUUCUUUUGAAAAUUUGCACUUCCAAAUUGUCGUUUCAUGCAUUCUGGAAUCUGGAUGACAAUGAAUAUUGAUUUUGAUUUUAAAAAUAUACAUAUAUAUUUAAAUGACUAGUUAUUAAGGCCUAUAUACAAAUCGAGGAGGAGAAAAUAGGGUUUACAUGGACUUGGGUAAGAAUUAUUUUCAAAAUUCAAAAUUGUUUAAACAGACACUGCACUGCAGUUUUCGAAAAAUAUAUACUAACAAAUUGCCAUUCAAUGCUUGCUGUCUUACAUGCAAACCUUUCUAGAGCAUUGAAUGACACAUUGCAGUUUCUGUAUUAUACCUACUGCCUAAUUUCAGACCAAAACUAUAAUAUGCAAUGCACUGAUUACUAUUUCUUUUUCUCUUUUUCUCUUCUUCUUUAAACAGGUUAAUAUUGUUGAAGGGUGGCUAGGAUACAUCAGACCUCAAGCACAAGCGUUCUUAGAAACUAGAAAAAAACAAAAACUUGUGAAGCAAAAGGAAGGGCCCCCUACACCUAUACAGAAAGACUUGUCCCUGAAUGAAGAACUCACUCUCAAUUGGAUUCUGCAAAAUCCAUAUCAGUUUCCAUUUGAGGAUAACACAGAAUUUGCUCAACAAAGUUCAUCUUCGUAAGAAUUGUGUCUACUCAACCAUUCAUCAUAGUUUGAAAUCAUUCAAAACCAAAAACUAAUCUCGUAUUCAUUUGCAGGUUGGAUUGCGGCAUGUUCGGCAUGUUUUACAUGGAUAAAAUAUCCCAAGGAUAGCUCAUUCCAAAAAGUGUAGACAAGAAUUUCAUGAAUGAAUAUCGAGCUAAAUACGUCACAAACCUCCUACACCACGAACACUGUGUAAUUAAUCGUCUCUAGUGAUUUGCCUUUUGUUAACUCAAGACAAUAUGUAUAUUAAUUCUUGUGGAUGUUUGUAAAUUUUUCUAGUUAUGGUAUAUGAGAACAUAUUUCUUACACAUCUAAACUGUAAUAUAAUCUUGGAAUAGGAUACAACAAAACGAAAAGGAAACAACAAACUGCAUUGAAUUUUCUAGUCAAAUACUGCAACAAAUGAAAUCUGCUCAAAAAAUGUGAAAAGAACCCAAAAGCCAAAGUCAUAAUCAAAGUACUAAAACUUUGUUCAAAACACAUUUAAGUAGGUCAGCAGUUGUAACAUUCCAAUAUACUUGCAAAAAUUAUUCUGAAAUCGAAUUAUGAGACAAAAAAAACUGCACUGAAUUUUGUGGUGAAAAACUACAACAAACGGUAGUGCAGUGUAUGCAAAAACAUAUGCUCAAAUCUAAUGUGAAAAGAAACCGAAAGGCAAAGGCAUAAUCGAAGUACUAAAACUAAUAUCAAAACACAUUUAACUCCAUGAGUAGUUGUAACAUUCCCAUAGACUAGCGAAAAUUAUUCUGAAAUUGAAUUAUGGAACAAGAAACUGCACUGCAAUUUUUGGUCAAAAACUGCAACAAACAAACGGAAACUGCAGUGCAAUUUAUGAAACAAAAUUUGCUCAAAACUGAAAACAAGCAUUGAAUGGCAGUUAAAAAUGAAUAUCCACUAAUGAAACAAUUGUAUAAUUUUCAUUAACUUCAAAAAAUAAUCAUAAUAUCCAAUUAGAAUUUGUGUAGCCAAUUAAAAGCAACUAAAAACUACAAGCACCGACUGCAUUUCAAUGGCCUUAUAAAUUCACCAAAAGCUUUGAUCCUCUUCGUUGGUGGUCUUCCGACUGGCCUCUUUGUAAGUGGCUAAAGCACAACUCCAGAUGCAGAACCGUUGUUGCCCAAGCAUUUCCCAAUAUAUGGAAUAGGAAAAAUAGGACUCUCAUUGGCUUUUCGAAAGAAGUCAGACUUGUAGUAACACUCCAUGUAAUCAUAAACUGAAUCUUUCUUUGCUAGAAUUGCAACCACCACAUGGUACAAGGAAAACCAUCAAUUUUCCAAAGACGGCAAGAACAUGUCCUUUGCUCGAGAUCAACCAUCACAGAAUAAUCAACAAAUACUUCAAAAAUAGUGCAACUAGAACGAUGAACUGCCUAAGUCCUACCAGCCUUUGCGUUUUCCCACAGUCUAGUUUCAAUCUCCAGACACAAAAUUGUUGUCCACUUCUCCACUUCAAUUCGUCGUUGAGAAUUCAAUACCAUCAAUUUUUGUCGAAUCCCUUCUAUCAAAGGUAGCAUCGGCAAAUCUCAAAACACACCAACCCAAUUAUUAAAUUACUCGGCUAAAUUGUUUGCCAUCUGCCCAUAACGCAUUCCUUUGAAAAAUGUGUUGGCAUAGCGAUCUCUAGACAAAUCAGAUAUAAAUGCCUUCACUUUCGAACUCUCAACAAUCACCAACUUGUCCGUUGCUACCUUAAACUCUUCCUCCGUUACAGCAUAUGCGCAUAUACUAAAUAAAUUGAUAACAUAGUCUUGGAGCAGUUUCCCAUAACCUGACUUCGGGACUUCGAUAUCAAAUUCUGCUUGAGGUGAUAGUAACAGUAAGAAUGAGGCCAUCCAAGAAACAAAAACCCCAUUGCAUUUAACAAACCUUGAUUGCAAUCCGAGAAAAAGGUCACCACUCUCCCCAUCGGAAGCAAUAUAGCAGCCGAAUGUUGAAGAGACCAAGUCCAAUUCUCCUCUGUCUCAGAAUCAACAACUCCAAAAGCUAGAGGAUAAAACGCUGUAAAACAAAACCAAAAGCACAAGUAUAAGCAACAAACGGAAACUGCAGUGUAGUUUAUGAAAACAAAUUUGCUCAAAUUUGAAAGAAAAUCGAAAGGCAAAUCCAUGAUCAAAGUACUAAAACUAAGUUUAAAACACAUUUAAGUUCAUGAGCAGUUGCAACAUUCCCACAGACUUGCACUUCCAAAACGUAGCGUCAAUAAACAACAAGGGUAUGCAAUAUUGAAAUCCAACAAUGCAACCGCCAAACGACACAAAAAAUCGUCUAAAGUGGUUAAUUCCAGCUUCACAUUCAAGAACGCAGAGAGAACCAGGGUUAGUUCCCUUUACGACAUUUACAUACCACACUAACUCAUUGAAGGACUUCGACUCAUCACCGUGAACGUCCAAUUUAGCUAGCUCUUUGCCAAACCAUGUGUGGUAGUAUGAAAUGUCUAUACCAUAAUAAUUUUUGAACUCAUGUAUAAUCUCAACUAGCUUCAGCUUAGGUUUUGCACGAAUUCUGUCGACAAAGAGAGAGGACACCACACGAGACCUCAUCAUCUUACUUUUUGAUUCCCAUAUCCAACCUGUACAUGUAUGCACUUUAUUUAACGUCCAAAUUACAAAAUAGCUAGUAGCUUCACAACGAGAAGCAUAAACACGCUAGCUACAACCCUCAAAUUUCUUAUUUGAACAAACAGCAAUCACCUGCUUCUUGUCAUUGCUGGCAUAUAAAAAAUUAAAUCCUACUUCAAGAGCAUACUUGCACAAUUUCAACCGAAACUCCUCUGCACCACCGUCAAACUUCUGCCCUACAUGAUGUAUAUACGUCUCCCACUUAUUCGACAACAAAGGCUUAGUACUUGCACUCUUCGACCUGCCCAAAAAUUCAUUUAUGUCUUCGACAGUACUAGAACAUGAUGACUCGCCCUUUUCACAUGCUAUCAACUCCUUAUUUACACAAAAAUCACCACUAUAUUCACUGCUCCUGCAUAAAUCCUUUACUAAAAUAUCCACACUCUUCGAAUUUGAUAUCGACAAUCCUCAUCAUGCCCAAAUCGCUUUCUGUUUCUAGUAAACAACUUGGAUAACCGGGCAGUGAAUACCGUAACAUGAAACUACUCAACUGCAAACCCCUAAACCUUUGACACAAAGUCUUCGAAACUUCAAUCUUGGAUGACUUUGAUGAAAUUGAAAACAUAAUGGUUUCCGACUUACAUGUGCACUUGGCUAUGAUACAAACCUCUAUUAGCCUUGAAAAUGCAAACAAAACAACAACAGAAAACAGAAAACAAUUCAAAUAAGUAAAUAAUGUAGAUGAGCAGUUUCUAGUCAAAAACUGAAAUAAACGAAAACAACAGUGCACUUGAUGAGAAAACAUAUCCUCAAAUUUGAAUAGAAACCAAAAGAAAGCCAUGAACAGUUGUAACAUUGCCAUACACUUCCAAUGAAGUUUAUGAAACUAGAAAUUGCAUUGCAGUUUCUGCUAAAAACUGAAACAAACAUAUGCAUUUUAUGACAUAAAAUCUAAACGAAUUCAAGUCCAUCCGCAAUUGUAACAUUGCCAAACACUUCCAAUGCAAUUUUUGCUAAAACACUGAAACAAACAGAUGCCGUUUAUGACAGAAAUUCAAAAAACUUCGAAUAGAAACCAAAAGGAAACUAAGAUAAAAGUACUAAAACUAAAUUCUAAAAACAAAUAAGUUGAUAUAAACGAAAAUAGGUUUUUAAGUACUCAUACCUCAACACCUAGGACUGCCAAAAAUCCCCGCAAAUAAACAGCAGCUCAAAAUCAAAUAUGAUCGCAAAAUGAAGAAGACAGAGUUUAGCAUUGAAUGCCACAAGAUCGCGCCACAAAAUCGUGCAACAAAACUGAGCUCGAAAUACCUGAACUAAAGAGAACAGAAAUCACCCAAAAUUGACCCUCAUUCCGUAUGCAAAUCGAACGUAAACGUAGUAGAAAAAAGAAAAAAGAAAAAAGAAGAAAAACGAACAAAAACCUACCAACAAAUUGAAGCUCCAAUGGCAAAAUGAGAACCAGAGCUCCAAAACCUCAAAGUCAAAGGAAAACGAAAGAGAAACCAAGACCAAAUCAUUUGUAGUUUAAAUAGCCAGGGGUAAAAGAGUCAUUUAAUUUGUUAGGUUUAAAGAUGAGCCAGGCUUUUUAAGAAGAAUGGUAGAAUUUUCUUUUCCGUUUUUAUUUUUGAGUUCGCCCAACGAAUCUGGGCCUCCUCUUUGGCCUAAUCUAAAAUAGCAAUUCUUUCCUAGGUAUUAAAACCCAAACCAAAAUACCCAAUGUCUCACAUACUAAUUAGUAAAGUUAAUUAUGUCUAAUACCUAAUUUUUCUUUAAAUUUAUAUACACUACUAUUCCUAAUAGCAGUUGCAACCUCAUGCCGAAUUUUGUGAAAGAUCGGGUUCGACUCGUACGGAAAUGGCCAUCGAAGUGGCAAAAUUUUUAGCAUUGAGGUAAAUUAUUUGUACAUAAUUUCCGUUUUUUAAAAUUCAAUGUCCUAAUUUUUUUUAAAAAAUGUUUCUUGCAUUUUGAAUAUAUAUUUGUUAAAUAGUUUAUGUAAGCACAAAUGUGGUUUGAUGCCAUUGGCCAAGGCAAAAAAUCUUUCAACCAUCAAUAAUAUUGGGUGGUGGUGAAAAAUUGUUCGCGAUUCAGAAUUAUUCCCACGGGUCCAACCGUUGUGUUGAACGAAACUCCACUCCAUGAUUCAACGGCAUCAUAUUCGCCUUUGGAUUUCCCGAUGAGUCAAGACUCACCAAUUCAAAAGGAGCCGAGGCCUGUUGGUCGAAUGGCUGUGAAGGCGAAGAGAGGGAGUACUUCCAGCAGUGAUACUGCAAAAUUUUUGGAGCAAAUUGCAAGGAACGACAACAUGAGAAUUGAGUUAGACAUGAAAAAAGAUGUGGACAAGAAGGCAAUGAAUGAAGAAUAUGCAAGAGAAAUGGAGUAUAUAUGCAAACAAGACAUUGAGAAGAAGGAUCGAGAAACCAUGGUCAUGGAUACAAGCCAUAUGUCCCUUGAAACAAAACAAUUUUGGAAGCUAGAACGAAGGGAUGUUAUGAGAAGAAGACUUUUCCGUGACGAUGGACCUACGUACACCGAUUGGGUAAAUGAUCAAAACUAUUAAGUUGGUUUGCUUGCUUUUUAUUUAAUUGUAUUGCUUGUUUUGUAUUAAAGUAGUUGUAAUUCUUGUCUUUUAUUUAAUUAGUAGUUUUUCUUAAUUAGUUGCAUUGAUUUUUUUUUUUUUGAGUGAAUAAAGAAAUCAUUCAAUAAAAUACCAUUUUAUUCAACACAUUGCAUACAUCAAACAAAACAUUAUUAAAAUAAAACCACGACCAAAGCAUAAUUAAAAAAAACACAACCAAAUCAUAAUUCAAAAUAAAACACAAACAAAGCAUACAUCAACACAAAGCAAAAUUAAAGACAAAGUAUCUUCACUUCACUUCAUUCAUCGUCAUUACCUCUCACUGUCCAUAAGUGCUCCAUCAAGUCAACUUGACGUCAUUCAUGAAUGUAAGACGAUUGCAUCUCCGUAUAUCGAUCAAUCAUACAGUUCAUGAAAUGACCGUCCCUAACCAACGGUUCAUGCUCCAAUGGUUGUCCAUUUGCCCCCUUGGGCCUUUCAUAAAUUCUUGUCAAGGCCGUGUUCUUGGGAUUAGGUUUGAACACGUUUGGAGCAUCAUAAUCAUACUCAUCCUCCACAAUCAUGUUAUGGAGGAUGAUGCAUGUCAUCGUAAUGCUCUGCAGCACCUCCUCAUCAAACAUACUCACAGCACCCCUAAUAAUUGCCCACCGAACUUGGAGGAUACCAUAACACCUUUCGAAUCUUUUCUGUAACCCUUUUGAUAGGCAGAAAAUAAUUUUUCCUUCUCCGAUGGAGGAUGUGGAAUUGAUUUGACGAAUGUGGUUCACCUUGGGUAGAUGCCGUCUGCUAAAUAAUACUCAUUCCAUUAGACGGUAUUGUUGAUUUUUUAGGUGAUAUUUGGGGCUUCACCUCCCAAGACAUCAUUGAAUACUGGGGAUUGACCCAACACGUUCAGGUUGUUUUGAGAUUCGGCAACUCCGAAAAAGGCAUUCCAAACCCAUGUAUCGAAUCCAGCAACGGCUUCGAGAAUGAUACUGUUUUGGCCUUUCCUAUUCCCAUAAUCCCCUUGCUAGGCAGUUCGCCAAUUCUUCCAUUACUAGUGCAUACUGUUGAUGCUUCCUAUGAUGCUUGGAAAACCUCGAGCUUUUUUGUAGAAUUCUUUGAAGGUCCCUAUGCGUAGGUUUGCGGAGGUAGUCCCUGAUGUAGACAGUUUCGAUUGUAUCACAGAAUCUGACCAAGGAUUCUAGAGUAAUGGACUUCCCCAUCCUAGAAAUCUCAUCCACUUGAUCAACAAAGGCACAUACACCAACAUUCAUUUAACAACUGUAAGCUUUUGCUUCGAAAGAAGCCCCAAAUCCCCAGCAUCAUCACACUUAUGAAAGAAGUAUGCAUCGUAAUUGCAAACAUCAUGCAUGACUUUAUUGAAAAAAUGGGGUUGCAUUCUAUAUCACCCUCGAAAAUCAACAUUAGAGUGCACAUAAUUUGGGAUAAAGUAGUCUUCCAAAAGAUUCUUACCUCAAGAAUGCCUAUGUCUGUUCACGUUCGAGCCACGACCGACUUGUGAACCACGGUGGCGGCCUUGACUUGAUAUAUCAAGCAUACCCAUUGCCAUGUCAACUUGUUCAUCAUCUUAUUGUUGCACCUUUUUUUCUUCAGCUCAUCUACGCAUUCUUUCUUUAAUUUCUCGCUCUUGCCUCUCCAAGCAUCUCCUCAUGUCUGACAUUGAGAGUGGAGUAUGAAAUCUAAAAUCUGAGAAAUGAAAGGAUAGACAAGAUCUAGUGUGAGAGGUAUGAGUUGAGCCUCUGGUUUUAUAGAUAGAUAUAGAAGAUAGAGAUGACAUGUGGCACGAUUUUAUAGGGUAAAAAUCUUAUCGAAAAUCUAAGAUUUGUAUUUUAUAAUAAAUAUCGACAAAUGGCACCCGAGAAUCUUAUCUUAAAAUAUUAUCUGAAAUUUGAGAUUUGUAUUUUAUAAUAAAUGUCGACACAUGGCGACCGAGAAUCAUAUCCGAAAAUUUUAUCCAAAAAGUUCAUUCAAAUUAUGAGAUAUGAAUUUUAUAAUGAAUAUUGACACUUGAGAACCGAAAAUCUUCUCCAAAUUAAUUUUUUUAGGUUUAAAAAAAACACUAAAAGUGAAUAGUAUUUCCCCUUUGCCAUGGCAAUGAGUGGAAACACACCUUGCCUUUUGCAAGGGCUGCCCCUAAUCACGUGAAUAGUAACAACCCUUACCUCCCCUUGCCCUUUAACAUGGCAAAUAGGUGGAAGUGCUCUAAGCAUACUGAAAGGAAUUAAUUGCCCCCGUUUUACUGUUCUUCACCCCCUUUUUUGUCUUAGAGCACAGUGAAAUGACGAAAUUACCUUUCUUAAAACUUUUGUGUCUUUCCUUUUUUAACCCAUUCCCCUUCGAAUCCCUUCUGCUGCAACUAUUUCAUUUGCUCUGAGAAAGCACUAAUUUCUGACCAGGCUGGUUGGGCUGGUUGGGGUUCAAGAAUGGAAGAUCUUGCUUCAUUGUUGAAGAUCCAUCUAAGACCGUUCAUUUCUGUUUUUGGCACUUGCUGCUAAUCGGACUGUCCUUUUGGUCUUCAUCUGAUCAGUUUUCCUCUAAGCUAUAUUACAUUUGAGUGUUUCAUCUUUCAGUCAGUUCCAGCUAGGCUUCAUCCUUCCUCUCAUACCACCGGGUAUUAAUAUACAAUUAAUGAUAGAUAGGUUAACAAUUAAAUUCCAGAUCAUGCAUAUUUACUACUAAAUCAAUGAUAGAUAGGGUAACAAUGAUAGAUAGGGUUCAUCCUUCCUUUCAUCCAUGAUUAAUUAUUAUUAUGGGUUUAACUCAAAGGGAUUUAUAAGUUUUCUUCAUUUGUUUGAUCUCUCUCAAAUAUUAUUGCUUUUUAUUAAUUUUAAGUUAGAAAAAAAGUUGAGAUUAAAUGGCUCUUAAUCUCUAUCCCAAGCUGAGAUUAAAACUAUAUCCUUUUUGGAAUCCACCAAGUCCUGUACAGUUUAAAAACCCUCUGUAUCGCUCAGGCACCCUCACUAGUAAAGUCUAUAUGGAGGAAUUAAAGUCUAACGUGUAACUAAAAGUCUAGACGCGAAGGCAAUGUAAAAGAAUAAACGGUCCACAAUUGUGCCAAACCUAAUUCAUAAGGCUGUCAUUAGGUUUUAUUACUGCAUAAUUGUCAUUAGGGUAUUCUUUUACAAGAUAAGGUCUUCAAAUCAGUAAGAUAAGGGUUUUUGUGUUGAAAUAUAAAUGUUUUAGCUAAUAUUAUUCUGUAUUUAGUUUAAAUUUACAGAUUUAAAUGUGAGCCCUUGGAUUACGGUCCAAGUGGACAGCUAAGAUGUGAUCUUAGAAUAGAAGAAUGGAUGGCUAGAUUUGGAUGAUGUAAUGUGGGAAUAUUCUGUUCCCAACAGUUAAGUGUGCACAGUGCGUGUGUGAAUUAGAAUGAGAAUUCAUCUACUUCUUCCUCAAGCUCUCUCUCUCUCUCUCUCUCUCUCUCUCUCUCUCUCUCUCUCUCUCUCUCUCUCUCCAAAAUCUAUCAUGGUAUCAGAGCCAUCCUUCAUGAGCACCUCUGUGAGAGUCAUCUUCCCAGCAUCGCUUGAUUCUUCUUUUUCUUUCUUCUUUGCAUCGGAUUCACCAGCUCAUUUCAAAUCUGAGCACUCUACUUCCUCAUUUCGAAUCUGAGCGCUCUACUCCCUUCUCAACAAACUCCCAUAACCCAUGAGAUUUGAAGAUGGUUUUCAUUCUUAUGCUCAGAAUUCAUAGUUCUCACUGUUGAAAAUUGGCGCUCUCAGCUCCCCACCAGACCCUGCCAUGCUACAAUAAGAAACCAGAGAAUUAGAGAAACCAGUGUAGCAGCUCAAGUAUGCUACUCAGGUAGAAUCUACACCCACUAUGUUUUAUGCUAGUAAUAAAUCUAAUACUAGUGUAAAAGAAUAUGAGGAUGUAUGGUAUGUAGAUAGUGGAUGUAGUAAUCAUAUGACAGGUAGGGAGGAUCUACUUGUUGAUAUUGACAAGAAUGUGACUGCAAAGGUUGAAAUGGGUACUGGACAACUUGUUGAAGUUACUAGUAAAGGAAAUCUGGUGGUUGAAACUAAAUUAGGCAAGCAAUACAUUAAGGAAGUUAUGUUGGUGCCUGGACUGAAAGAAAAUUUACUUAGUAUAGGUCAAAUGAUGGAGCAUAGCUACUAUUUGGUGUUUGGAGAUCACAAGCUCGAAAUCUAUGAUGACAGCUCAUAUUCCAACUUGGUUUCAAAAGUACAAAUGAGAGGAAAUCGAAGUUUUCCAAUGAAAUUGCAGUCUGGAAUACACACUGCCUACAAGGCUAGUGUAUGUCACUCUACUACUAUGUGACAUAGGAGAUUGGGGCAUUUGAACAUCAGUAGUUUGAAGUUGAUACAAGAACAAGAGAUGGUGGUAGGUUUACCAGAAAUUCAAGCAGCUAAAGAGGUAUGUGAAGGGUGUGUUCUUGGUAAACAAUGUAGAGAGGCAUUUCCAAGGGAAGCUACUACUAGAGCAUUAACUCCUCUAGAAUUUAUACAUAGUGAUAUUUGUGGUCCAAUGCAGAUUGUUACAAAGGCAGGUAAUAGGUACUUUCUCACCUUUAUAGAUGACUGUACACUACAAGAAAAAUAGCUUUUGACAACAUGCCACUAACAACGUGCGUCUAUUUCACGUUGUGGAAGUAUACUUUUGACAACAUGCACCAAGUGCACGUUGUAGUACGCUACUUAUAACAACGUUCCUUUAAUACGCGUUGUCAAAAUGAAAUUUAGAAAAAAUUUCGCAACGCAAACAUGCGUGUUGUGAUAUCUUUAAGUUCUACAACGUGCAAACCAUGUUGUCAACUUGUUUCAUUUUUUUAAAGGAAAUAUACGCAAAAAUUAUGCGGGAGAACUCCCUCUCUUUCAAAAUAUUAAAACAUUCGAAAGUUUUUUAAAACCCCUCUUUUUUCUGAAUAAUAUUUCACAGCCCCUCUUUCUUUUGCAAAUCACUCUCACACUGCUAAACCUAGGGAAAAAUCCAAUAUCCCAACCUCUUUUGCUCCAUCCCAGCCAUCUCUCUCUCUCUCUCUCUCUCUCUCUCUCUCUCUCUCUCUCUCUCUCUCACUCAUGGAUCCUCUCUUUGCUCAUCAUCCACUGCCUCUGUCAUUGCCAACUUCACAGCCUCUCAAUCUCUUAUCGCCGUCAUCAAAUCCCUCAAUGCUUUGCUCUCUCAUCGCGAACCACUACUUCUUUUGUCUUAGAUCUACAAUUCUUAAGGCCAAUCCUAAUAUUUGUUGUUCUUUGCAGGUAUUGGCCUUCAUCACCGAGCCCACCAGCAUCUUUCCACCACUAACUUGCUCAGCCUCAUUUAGGAAAAAAUUGAGUGGCCUCCAGGUACAAAAUUUUAGUGCGAAGGUUUGAUUUUUGUUGGAUUGUUCAUUUGAUUUUGGUAAUAUAAUAUUUGGGUUUAUAUUACUAUUUGGAUUGUUUGGUUUUGUUCACUGUUUCGAUUUUGUUCACUUAAUAUAUAUAUUUUUAUAAUAUACAUUAAAUAGUGUGUUUAAGGCUCUUCAUGUGCUUAUGAAUGCCUUUUUUCUAUGAUAUAUAUAUAAUUUAUAUUCCCUCAAAAUUUUCUGAGUGGAUAUGCCUUCAAGGAUUAAUUUUAACUUUCAUCAGAUUCCUUCAUAUUACAGGUUUUGAUACUGGUUUUGUGCUGAUUACAUGUGUUGAUUUUGGUUCCCUUUAACAAAUGGGUAAGCUUUCAUCUUUCAAAAGCUGUCCCUUUAAUAGGGGUGAGUUUCGGAUUUUUCCUUCAACUUCUUUUGCAUUUUGUGUGUUAAUUUUGACAUAUGUUUUUGUUGGGUAUCUUGUCUUGGUUAUGAAUAAUUUCAGUUUAGGCCAGAAAACUUGAGUAAGGUUUUUCAGUGCAAACAGAUAUAAGAUCAUAAUAGUCUUCUUGUACAUACUUAUUUUCAAUUGUUUUAUGAAAAUUUCAUGUCUGGCUACAAAGCAAUUUGCAUUUUGUCUUCUAAUUUUUGCCAAUAUUGUAGCUAUGCAAUUUUGUCUUCUAACGAAAUAAUUUGCAUCAUGUAUGAUUGUGAUUAUUGUUUGGCUUAGGAAGAAGAAAAUAGAAGGAAAGGGCGCAUUAAGGGUCCUCCCGUUGGACAGAUAUUGAUGUUAACCUUUCCUGUACGUCUCUGCAUUAAACUUGCUGUAUUAUGAUAAUAUAAGUACAAUAAUUUUUUCCCCUGAUAUGUUGUAUAUUACUCUCUAAACUACCAUAUCUUUGAUUGAGCCUUGAGGGGAUUGAUUGUUAAAGAUCUUUGUUCUCUGUUCUGUUAUGCAUUUUCUCUAAUUUAACUUCCUCUCUUACUAUAGUUCAUCUCAAACUUAGAGAAAGAUAAGAACAUAGUUUAGUUGGUUGGAUUGAGUUAAUGGCUAAUCAUAGGUUACUAGUUUUGCAAACUUUCUAUUCCUAAAUUUGCAAUUUCUUAACUAUUAAAAUUGUCUUGUUUGAUUUUUUUUUGUUCAGAACUUCUGUGCGACCUUAAGAUGGAUAGUAUGGGUGCUUCUUGGAAUGAUAGGUGCACAUUGGUUAGAUAAUAUUCCGCAAUUGGACAAAGGGUUUGAAACACAACUAAUCAGGUUUCUUGAUAAUGCUUUACAAGGAUUUUAAAUUGUAAUUAUACUAUGCAUAGUUCAAUUUCCCUUCAUAUGGAUAAAUGUAAGUUGACAAUGAAUCUUUCUAUGGAGUUAUUUUUUGAAUGAAAACUCUUUAUUAUGGGUUACAUUAUGAUUUUUAUUUUAUCAAAGGUUAUAUUAUGAUUGGGAAGGAAGAAAAUAGUCACACUUAACUAAAGCUUGAAUUUAUGGAUCAACUCUAUUGUUAUAAGGUGAUUAUGAAUAUAAUUUUUUUUUUAUUAUAAAUAUUUAUUAUCACAACGUGCAAAGACUGUUGUUAAAAUUGAAACAACAACAUGUCUAUGAACGUUGUCAAUAAGACAUACAACAACAUGCCGAACACGUUGUUGUCCAUUGAUUCUACAAUGUGUGCACGUUGCCGUUAAUGGCAUGGACAACGAGCACUUAAAUCAACGACCACAUGCAAAGCCUGUUGUCGAAGGGCCUUGACCUUUUAACGACAUCGGCUUCCACAACAUGCGCCGUGUGUUGUCAAUACCCUUCAACAACGCCCAAUGAGCGCUGUGAAAGGACUUUUUUCUUGUAGUGGUACUCGGAUGUGCUGGAUUUAUUUUUUGAGAUACAAGUCUGAAGUAUUCAGUGUAUUUAAGAGGUUUAAGGCUACUGUUGAACUGCAAAGUGGAUAUAAGUUGAGGAAAUUGAGAAGUGACAAAGGAGGAGAGUAUACAUCCAUUGAAUCCAAUAGGUUCUGUGAAGAAAUGGGAUGGAAAGGCAACUCACUGUGGCAUAUUCACCACAGCAAAACGGUGUGGUUGAAAGGAAAAAAAGGACCAUUGUGGAGAGGGCCAAGUGUAUGAUGUUUGAGAAGAAGAUGCCACUAGAAUUUUGGGCUGAAGCUGUUAACACUACAGUAUAUAUCCUAAAUAGGUGUCCAACUAAGGCUUUGGACAAGAAGACUCCUUUUGAAGCCUAUAGUGGUAGAAAGUCAAGAAUUAAGCACUUAAGGAUGUUUGGUUCUUUGUGCUAUGCAUAUGUUCCAAGUCGACAGAGACAGAAGCUAAAUUUGGCUAGCACAAGAUGUGUGUUUCUGGGAUAUGGAAGCUGUGAAAAAGGCUACGGGCUUUACAACCUCGCAUCUGGAAGAGUAGUUAUUUCUAGAGAUGUUGUAUUCAAUGAGGAAGCAGGCUAGAAUUGGAAUAUGCGAAAGGAAUGCAGUAUCUCAGUUCCACUCACUGAUAUGCUUACUGAGAAAGAAAAGGAGACUGGUGCAGCUAGCUUGCCUCAAGUAGAGACCUCAGAAGAAGAACGUGUUGAAAUUGGUUCAGGGCCACAAGAUAUUGAUCACACUCCUCUGAAAUAUAAAAGUAUUGCUGAAAUAUAUGAAAGAUGCAAUCUGUGCAUCAUUGAGCCUGAGACAUUUGAAGAAGCUGUUAAAGAUGAGUCAUGGCAGAAAGCAAUGGAGAAUGAAAUUGCAAUGAUAGAGAAGAACAACACUUGGGAGUUGGUUAAUAGACCAUCUGAUAAACUAGUAAGUGGUGUCAAAUGGGUCUAUAAAACCAAGUUGAAUCUUGAUGGCUCGGUUCAGAAAAAUAAAGCAAGGCUUGUUGCAAAGGGUUACUCUCAAAAGCCUGGAAUAGACUUUAAUGAAACAUUUGCACCUGUUGCUAGGCUUGAUACAAUUAGGACAUUGAUUGCUUUGGCUGCACAGAAAGGCUGGAAGCUGUUUCAACUAGAUGUGAAAUCAGCAUUUUUGAAUGGAGUAUUACAUGAGGAAGUAUAUGUUGAUCAACCCCCUGGAUUCAUUAAGAACAAAGAGGAUAGAGUUUACAGACUCAAGAAGGUAUUAUAUGGCCUUAAGCAAGCUCCAAGAGCUUGGUACAAAGAUAUCAACUCUUAUUUUAUAAAGGCUGGUUUUCAAAGAAGUCCUAGUGAAACAACAUUGUAUGUGAAAUCUGCAGAAAGUGGAAUACUCAUUGUUUCCCUAUAUGUGGAUGACAUUAUUUACACUGGAAGCUCAGGAGAAUUGAUGAUGGGUCAAAACUGAAAUGAUGAAACANNNNNNNNNNNNNNNNNNNNNNNNNNNNNNNNNNNNNNNNNNNNNNNNNNNNNNNNNNNNNNNNNNNNNNNNNNNNNNNNNNNNNNNNNNNNNNNNNNNNNNNNNNNNNNNNNNNNNNNNNNNNNNNNNNNNNNNNNNNNNNNNNNNNNNNNNNNNNNNNNNNNNNNNNNNNNNNNNNNNNNNNNNNNNNNNNNNNNNNNNNNNNNNNNNNNNNNNNNNNNNNNNNNNNNNNNNNNNNNNNNNNNNNNNNNNNNNNNNNNNNNNNNNNNNNNNNNNNNNNNNNNNNNNNNNNNNNNNNNNNNNNNNNNNNNNNNNNNNNNNNNNNNNNNNNNNNNNNNNNNNNNNNNNNNNNNNNNNNNNNNNNNNNNNNNNNNNNNNNNNNNNNNNNNNNNNNNNNNNNNNNNNNNNNNNNNNNNNNNNNNNNNNNNNNNNNNNNNNNNNNNNNNNNNNNNNNNNNNNNNNNNNNNNNNNNNNNNNNNNNNNNNNNNNNNNNNNNNNNNNNNNNNNNNNNNNNNNNNNNNNNNNNNNNNNNNNNNNAAAUGAUGAAACCAAUAUGAGAUGAUUGACCUUGGGUUAUUACAUUAUUUCUGGGUUUAGGUGUGAUACAAACAGAGUCCUACAUCUUCUUGCAUCAGAAGAAAUAUGCAAGGACAUUGCUGGACAAGUUUGGUUUCAAAGAUUACAAAUCACUUGCUACUCCUCUUGCAGUGAAUGAAAAAUUAUCUAAGGUAGAUGGGAGUGAACAAGCUGAUGAAAGUGUGUAUAGGCAGAUAGUUGGAAGUCUGUUAUAUUUGACUGUAACAAGACCGGAUCUCAUGUUUGCAACAAGCCUUUUGGCUAGAUUUAUGCAUGGUCCAACCUGAAAACAUAUGGGAACCACUAAGAGGAUACUCAGAUACAUUCAAGGCACACUUGAUUAUGGCAUAGCAUAUGGGAAAGGGAAAGAAGCAAUGCUUAUUGGCUACUGUGAUAGUGAUUGGUUAGGGAGUGAAGAUGACACGAAAAGCACAUCUGAAUAUGCAUUUAGUCUUGGAUCAAGUGUAUUUUCUUGGGCAUCUGUCAAGCAAAGCAGUGUUGCUUGACAGAUAAACACUUAGAAGGGAGUGUUGAAAUAUAAGUGUUUUAGUUGAUAUUACUUUGUAUUUAGUUUAAAUUUACAAAUUUAAAUGUGAGCCCUUGGAUUACAGUCCAAGUGGACAGCUAAGAUGUAAUCUUAGAAUAGAAGAAUGGAUGGCUAAAUUUGGAUGAUGUAAUGUGGGAAUAUUCUGUUCCCAACAGUUAAGUGUGCACAGUGUGUGCGUGAAUUAGAAUGAGAAUUCAUCUGCUUCUUCCUCAAGCUCUGAUCUCUCCAAAAUCUAACAUUUUGGUCAGUCUGCUUACAAGUUUCAAUUCUUUUUGUUGUUCUAACUAGGUACAACAACAUAAUUUCGACGGAAUCCGAAAAAGCUCCCACUGUAAGAAAGUGGAAAAACGAAGUGGGAAAAAAAGCAAUGCUCCAGAUGUGGGGAUAACAUGGGAUUGCAUCUGCAUCAUCUGGAAGAAGUUGGUGUCAUCUGAGGAGAGGCCUAAGAAUUUAUUUUAUUUUUUGCAAUUUUGAGAGAUGAGAAUGAAGCCCCCGUGGACCAAUAAAAAAUCAUGUAUUUUUCAGAGAUGGGAUUUGUACGGUUGUACAAUUCUUUUGAUUCCACUUUAUAGUGUGCAUGUGAAUGACUAUUUAAUAUACUUAUCUCAGCUUCCCUAUUUUCCGUUUAAAGUUAUUCAUAAAUCAUUUCUAUUCAAUUUCAGUUCUCUAAUCAGGUUUCGAAUUGGCUAUUUAAUACAUGUUGGUAAACAUUUGUACUGAACAAUUUCACUAAUUAGCUGGAGCCAAGUCGUGGCUCCGCUCUUUGUUAUAAUAUUAUUUUGUACUCGGUAACAAUUUCAGUAAGUUGAAGUCGUCUUUUUUGCAAUAUAAUUUGAAGUUGCUGAAGAGAGAGUCUCAACAGUCGACUAUGUAGAAGAGAAAAAAAAAGAGAGAAACUGAAGAGAGUUGCCACACCUUCAAGUACUGGAAGAUUUAUUUAUUUAUUUGAAACAAGUGAAUCGAGUUUGUAGCCCCAACUAAUAUCCAUUUUACAAACAUUUUAUUAGUGUUGACAUUCAGUAAUAGUCAAACCCAGUCUACCAAUAAGAGAUCAACAUGUGGACUCUAACCACGAGAGAUCAACUAACGGCUCGGUCAAAUGUCGACCACACCCCAUGAGAGGGGUGGCCCCUAGAAUUUUCCUCAGGCGGCCCUGUGCACCGCUUUUCAUUAGAGCAUGUUUAGCGCUGCUGGUUUGCUCGGGCAAGAGGGAGUCUAGGCCCAGCUUUUGUCUCCAACGCACAAAGGCAAGACCAGGCAAUUGAUGGGGGCCACAAGCCUGGGCAGGCCCAAAGCCAAAUCUUGCUUGAGUUUGCUAACGUCGUUGAUGACGUCAGCAACUAAAAUUUUUUUUAAAAAAAUCAAAAUUUUAAAUACCUAGUCUUAUUUUUCACUUCUUAUGCCAAAAUUAAUGGUUUAAGUGUAAAAAAUAUAAAAUAAAUUAAAAUGAAUAGUAAUUGCCCUUGCCCUUGCCAUUUGGGGUGGAACUAAAAAAGGCAAGUCUAUUAAAAUGAAUAGUGAUUGCCCUUGCCCUUGCCAUUUGGGGUGGAACUAAAAAAGGCAAAGCUGCCACUAUUCACGUGAAUAGUGGCAGCCCUUGCCUUGCCUUAGCCUUUUGGGUUGAAUUUGCUCUUAGAAGAGAGAAAAUGGGGGAGGAGAGAGCAAAACACACCCCCCCUCCCUCCCUAAAAAUCUGAAUUUUUUAAAAUUACAAAAUUGCCCUUAACUACCGUAGAUCAUAACUCCUUUGUUUUAACUCAUAUUCGAGCCCAACAUGAUAGGACCCACCCUAGAUUCUCCCUCAGAACCCAUGACGAACCCUGCUUCUUGUCCGACAUCCCACUUUAUUAAAAGUCAUUUAGCCCUAAUUUAAACUGAUCGACUAUUCGACUUCUACUAAAAUUUCGAUAGAGUCCCCACUGUAACUGGAAUAUUUCCUAAUUUAUAGUACCUGCAAACAAAUGCAAGAAUAAACCUAACUUCUAGCAUGCACAAAGUGAAGUCACGCAAAACAGUUAAGAUCAUGCCUUCUACCCAAACUCAAAACGAGCAAGCAGAGCUACUAAAAAUUAAGUUUACAACCUGGGGAAAAAUAAAAUGUACAGAGUGAUAGUAGCACACUACUAUGGAGCGGAUAACGAUGAUGCCUCGACGACGUGGUCUCAACCUCAGCUAUCUAGAACCUGGGGGGGCGCAAAACAAAAAAUGUGAGUAGACGAAAACAAGCGUUAAACAUCAUUUAUAUUCAACAUAAAUAACCCCUCCGUUUUAGAAAAUAAUGUAAACUUGUUAAUUUAUUCCUUAUUGUAAAACCAUAAAUUCAACACCACUAAAGUAAACCCAUUAGUAUAAAAUAUAAUCAUCAAAACCCAAAAUUCUUUUUCCAGCAACCAUACCCUUGUAAAAAUACAAUAAGCCAAGUAAUUUCCAAAUAUCCCAUCUCAAUUCCGAAAUUCAUUUCAAAUGUUCAUUCCUGUGCAAAGUAUUCUCAAUGCACAUGCCCAAGAAACCUCAACAUGGAAAUAAAUUCACAUAUACCCAUAUAAAUGUGUGUGUGUGUGUGUGUGUGUAUAUAUAUAUAUACACGCACAAACAUUCACCAUAACAAGAUAUGUACCAGGGGAAACAAUCCAACUCGGGGACUGUUUGUUCUCAACCACAUGUCGGGAUUCUGCAUCAUACAUGUGUAAGGAUGAGUAGUCCAACCAGGGGACUUUUGCUCCCCAACACACACAUGGGGACCUGCAUUGUACGUGUAGCUGAAUCCAAUCAUACGCGUAGACUAACAUCCUCACAUACCUCCCAAAAAGUAUAUGUGUGCCCUGAUGGGUCCCAAAGACCAACUUUAAUUCUUUUCCAUCAUCCUUUUCAUAUCGAACCAGGGGAAGGUACAACAAAUGGUGUGUAGCCACAUAAAUCCCAUAUCCCAAAAUAUAUCAAAAUCCAUAUACUUUAAUAAUAAUAAUAAAAUAAUAAUCCCUAGAAAUCCCAUAUCACAAUGUAAAAGCCAAGACUAGCCUGAUAAUAUAAUCCCAUAAUCUCAAUUAACCCAAAAUAACCAAUUUUCCAAUCAAAUCAAAUUUAUGCAAGCAAUUCCAUGUUUGAAAAACAAUGUUCAUUUAAAAAUAUAUGUCCACUCACAACAAGUCCAAUGCUGCUGAAUUCUGAGAGGACUCUUCCUCUGGAGUAUGCGAAGUGUGGUACCUAUUCGAGAGAAUACACGGACUUAAUUACCAAACGUACCUAACAAUGAACUUUAACUCAAAACUCCAGUUCCCAAGUCUCGAAGUGUGCACAACCUUUAUGAAGGUUUACAAGGUCAUUCUAGUACUUCAUGAAGGAUAAGACAGUCCUGGAAGACUCAUGGUCAACCGAGCAGUCAAACUUUCCAUAUUGGUCAAUCGGGCCAGCGAGGCUCACAAGGCCCACGACCUCCGAUUUCUGAUCCGAAAGUUUCUACACAGUCCUAGAGGUACCAGGAACAACAUAGUUAAAAUUGGAACCGAUCGAACGGUCCGAACCUAUCGAAUCUGGAUAUCGCAUAAUAGGUGCAAUAUCCAUUCAAUAGUCAAACGACAACCAAUUCCAAUUUCGAGCAUAGAGUCGUGCUCAGGACGACAUGGGGAGUAUUUUAGGACAUAAUGGGCCGACACACAGUGGCCCACGCAUCGCCAACCACUGCGGGCAGCGUGUGGGUGUCUUGAGAAUUUCACGUUUCAAUAAUUAAUAAAAGUAAAAGAAAAUUGAACCAAACAAAUUAAGAAAGUCCCAUCUUCUAUUUCUUCACUUUCUCCGUCUAAACAACUCAGGUCUCAUAGAAAACCUUUUUUCUUUUUUUCUUUUUUUAUCAUUAUCAAAGCUGCACCGGUUUGUUGGGUCACAAUCUCUAGAUCCUCUCAAUUCUCUGAUAAAUUUUCUGGUCUUUUUCGGCAAGGCUUAUGGUCUCUACGGAGGUUGAAGACAAAAAUUUCAGGGAGGCAAAAACAAAGCAUUGAAAUAGAGGGACAAAAAGUUCUCAAUCUACAUGUGAAAUCUGCUAUUCCACCAAAGAAUUGUGAUGAUGUGGAAAGAGAAAGUGAAAAGAGUUCGUGUUGGUUUUGAUCGAAGUUGGUCCUAAUUUUUUCUGAGUCCGAGGAGAUGGGUGUUGUUCAUGGUGAUUUUCUCGGUUGUGAAGAGGGAGAGCUAGCGUAGCUGGGACGCAUUUCAGUGUGUUUAGAAAACACUGAAAUCAGGGGCGGAGCUAAAAUUGUAAAAGUGGAGGGGCCGAAGUAGAAAAUACAAGUAUAUAAAACACCUAAGUAUUCAAUACUUACAUGUUUAGAAUUAAAUAUUUCUAAUUGUGCCAUGUCUAAUUUGUUUUAGAGGAAAUUUUAACUUAAAUUUUAAGUUGUUUAUUACAAAUUCUAUAUAUCAUAUAUAAUAUAAUAAAGGUGUGAUAAAAAUAUAAGGGGGCCAGGGCCACUCCAGGUCUAGGAGUGGCUCCGCCACUGACUGAAAUAAGACUAGGUAUUUUAGGAAUAAUGGUGGGUGGAAAAAUAAGAUUGUAUUUUUUAAAAUUUAUAUUGUGGGUGAAAAUAUAAAGUGGAUGGAAAAAUAAAGCAGGUUGGUGGAAAUAGCAGCCCUCAUAAUUAAUAAUUCAAGUUACAAAAAUAAAUCAUAUAUCAAUAAUCCCCAAGAGUUUUCACCCAAACUCUAAAUCAUAAAAACUUAACAACAACAAUUAAAAUUAGAAAUUGAAUAAAAAAAGAGAAAAACCUACCAAGAUUGAAGAACCCACUGAAGAUAGGUUGGUACAAUUUUUUUGAGGGAGAGAGCUAUUUCUUCUUAGGCUCUCAAGGUUCAAAUAUAGUGUUUUGGGUGGCUAAAAGAAAAAUUCUAAUAUUUGCUUCUAAUCAAAUUUAUAUAGAUUAUGAAUUGCAUGUUUAAUAUUUCUUAUAUGCUUCAAGAAUGGGCUUAUUUCUACAUAGAGGACUAGGCUUAUUUUAAAUAGAGGGCUGACUAUUAUUUACUUUACCUAGAUUUCGCUUAUACCACUAAGCCUUAAAAAAAAAAAAACAAAACAAAAACAAAAACAAAAACCAAAACAAAAUCUCCGAGAGAUGUAAGUUGGGGAAGCAAAUAGUGUUGGGGAAAAGUAUUUUUGACUCUUAAUUUCUUUUGUAUAUUUAAUAGCCAAAAUGUUAGUUAACUUAGAAAUUUGACUCUCUUAAUUUCUUUAUUUUCUUCAAAGAAUUGACUAAACAAAGAAUCAUACAUUUGAGUUUGCUUUUGGGGCUUCCGCAUUAAAAGCUUAAAGAGUACGAUCCUACUAAUGGUUUAGAAUUAAAUGAAUUAGCUUACCUAAGCCGACUCCCUAAUACUUGUCAAAUCACACCCCAACCUUGAGUUUUGAUUGAGCUUGACUAUAAAGUAUUUUACCCGAGCAACAUAUAAGAAAGGGUAUCGUGUAUUGAUGGGGUCGACUUCUAUUAGAGAGGUGGUACACUAUAAAAAUGUGAUAUGCCUAGUAUUUUUCUAUAAGAAGGGACACUACAUGUUGGAGGCCACAUAAGUCCUUGUGAUUAUUCAGGCUGGAGAUUAUCAAAGAUAAACCUCUAAUAUUACCUUCAACUGGAUUACAGAGGUAUAUAGUUUGAUAUAUAAAUUAUUCUAAUCAAAUAUCACAAAAACAAAAUGCAAGAACAAUUUUAUUCGUUAAACAAUUAUACAUUACGGAUAAACCUCAAUGGGCUUAAACAUGAAUAUUACAAGCGUAUAUGUAAAUUAUUCCAAACCAAUACAAGCCGGAGAGGAGAAUAUCAAGGAUAAACCUCAAUUAGAUAUCUUAAACCGCAAAUGGGAGUUAUCUUAUAGUCACUGAAACCUGCAUCAGAAAAUAGCUUAGCCCAUUCUUUCUCAGUCCUUUCUUUUCCUGUAACCAACACCAUCAUCAACAUAUCGAAGAAGAGCUGCGUCUCAAUUGAUUGGUCAUCUCCCUUCUGCUUCAUUACCAUGUCAAUGAUAAUCACCUUGCCUUUCUUUUCCUUCCUUGUAAUUGCCUCUUUAGAUCGCUGAAGUAUUUUUAUACAUUCUUCAUCGGACCAGUCAUGCAAUAUCCACUGCUAGUCAUGAGCAGUCACCAUUCAUAAGAGACGGAUAUACAAAUAGAGAAUUUCGAUCUUAAACAAUUAUUAAGAUAUAUAAUAAACAGUCCCGAUCUCUUGGACCACAAGAGUCCAAGAGAUUGUGGUCACCCACCGUUGGAUAUUAAUCCAAUGGUUCAAAAUGAUAUAUAUAAAUGCAAUAUGACAUAAAUGAUUAUUACCCGAUUCAAGUCAACCGUUGAAUUUACAUCCAACGGUGGGUGACCAUAAAUCUCUUGGACUACAGGGGUCCAAGAGAUCAGGACUGAUAUAAUAAAAAUGAUACUAGUCGGUGCUAUAAUAAAAAUGGAAUAUGUACAUAAAAUUUGAAGAUAAGAACGAAAACAAAGCAAAAGGAAAGGGUAUAAACAAAAAACAUGUAGUUAAGGGAAAUAGCAUACGUGUUAAAAAUAAGGCCAAUCGUAUGUUUGUUGGGAAACAUUAUCUAUGCUAUGUGUUCAAUUUCUUUGCUUCUUCAAAUAAUUCAAAUUAUUAGCUUCACAAGUUUGAAGGGGAAAUGUCCCAAUGUUAACUAAUUUCUUAGCUUAAAAUAUCUGCAGCAGGAGGGUAAAAUUUAAAAGGUUUAAUGAGUGGUCCUUGUUACUUGCAUGCAUGUAAUUAUCUAAAGCAACCUUAAAAUCACAUAGCACCGACUAGUAUCACAUAGCACCGACUAGUAACAUAAUCUCCGAGAUGUACGUACCUUCAUUAAAAUUGCAUCUGUGUGAGGAAUGGCCUCAAACAUGUCCCCUCCAAAAAAUUUCAAGUUCUUACUCCCUUUUAGGUCAGCGACCACAUGUGGGAGAUCAAAUACAAUGCAUUCCACAUGGGGAAAUACAUCAGCAAUGGCCUUGGCCAUGGUUCCUAUACCACCCCCAACAUCAACCAAGGACUCCAAUCCCUCAAACACCCCCUUGUACUCAUUACUCACCACCUUCGAGAUUAGUCGAGCAUCACUAGCCAUGGAAUCAUUGAAAAUGUGGGAAAGACUUGGCUCGAGGUACCCGAAAUCCCAAAAUGUUGUCCCAUGCGCCGUGAAACAUGCUGUAGGGUCAUUAUUUUGGAACCAAGUGCUAAAGUAAUGCCAUGGUUUGGUCAUAAAAGGAUCAAGCUGGCCAAGUAAGAAGGGUCUUGCGCUUAAGGGAUCGUCCUUAAGAAGGAGCCUGGAAGCAUCCGUCAGCACAUAACCUUCUUCCUCAUCAAGUUCACUAAGCUUUUGGCGACCGAAGAAGCCCGAGUGCACUAAGAUUCGCAUGAGCCGGUAGACACAAUUGGAUUUUGUUGGGUGGAUUGGCAAUGCAGAUAUAAGCUCAGAAAGGCUCAUGGGAUUGCCAUGUUUCUUUAUGAUGUCUGGUAUACCUAGUUGAACUGCACAUUUGAGAGACAAAGGGUUUAUGAAACUGAAAAUGCAAUUCCAAAUGUGGGCUUGAGCUUGGAGUAGGUUGGCAGAACUCAUUUCGUUACUCAAAUCCAUGUAUUUGGCUCCAGAUUAACUAGUGCGGGAUAGCAUGGCUAGUUAGGAAUAAUAUAUCCAAGUGUUUAUGGGUCGAAUGUACAUGAAUAAUAUAACAAAUAUUAGGCUAGUUAGGAAGAGGUUUGUAGUUUAAAUGAUUAAGAAUAUUUACUAGCACCUGAGUUCCUAGGUUCGAUUCGCCCCAUCCUCACAACAUCUUCUAUAAAAAUAAAAAAAAUUGUUAGCCUGGUUAGAACUUCACAAUAUUAUGGGUCAGAAAUUGAGGGAUGGCGACAUGUCCCAAACUGGAAGAACGACAUGAUGUAGCACGAUCUUAGUCAUGCAAACCAAUAUUGGCAAUCGAGCAGAAAUGGCAAUGGAAGCCAUGUGCCUUAUCUCUUUCUAGGCCUACCAUUUGGUUUUGGUCAGAAAUUGAACCGACUAAUCACUCCAAUUGUUUUGGUAUUGGGAACCAAUUUUAGUGAUGCACACUGGCUAUUUGCAAUGGAGCAUUAAAAUGACAAUGGAAGUCAUGUGCCUUAUAUCUUUCUAGGCCUACUAUAUAUUUUCUUUUGAACAGAAAUUGAACAGACUAAUAACUCCAAUUGUUUUGGUUUUGGGAUGUCGACAUGUUCCGAACCCAAAGAGCGAUGUAGCACAAUCUUAUUGAUGCACACUAGCUAUUUGCAAUGGAGCAUAAAUGCAGAUGGAAGACAUGUGACUUGUCUCUUUCUAGGCCUACUAUUUGGUUUUGCUCAGAAAUUGAACUGACUAAUAACUCAAAUUGUUUUGGCUUCACAUGUGGACCAUUAUGUGGUGUUUCCACAUGAGGGGUCGUGUUGAACAAUAUAAAGUCUCACAUCAAAAUGUUCACACAACAUAUAAGUGGUUCCACUACUAAUACACCUACUGAAUAUGAAGGUGAUUAAGUUGGGGACAAUACUGAUAUAUGUUGCUAGUAGUGGACCACUAGCAUGCCGCUCUUAAAUUUAUCAUAUAUUAUUUAUAUAUUAUAUAAUAUAUAUCUAGAAAAUGUCCUCAUGUGAAAUAAAAAUAAGUUACCCAUCCCUUUUUACAUAUCUGAUACGUAAAUUAUAUGCACAAUAUUCAAAUAAGUACAAAGUCUAUAAAAAAAGGGAGAUAUUUAGUCAUACACCCAUUCUUAGCACUAAUGAUAUAGAUAAAUCCUAUACCAUUUAAUUACUAUAAACAAACGAAAAAAAACCCAAAAAUGACACAUUUGAUUAUUAAAUUACUUUGAUGCCUUAUUGAGUGUUUUGAGUUUUUUUAUGAAAUUUUUGGUUAGUCUUGUUUUAAGAAAUUGAUGGCAAUUUUGUAAUUUAUAAUAAGUUAAAAGCCUCUUUGUUAUGUUGUAAAUGAGCUUUGAGUGUGUUUCUAAAGUCUAUUUCAUAUUCGGAUUUUUUUUAUAAUUUAGGCCAUAUUUUAAGUAUAAUAAUGAAAUCCCCGAAAAAAAUUUGGUACACCAACGUAUAGAUUGAAAAAUUAGUUUCACAAACAUAUAUAACUACAAUUUGGGGGUAGUGCUCGAGCUUUGUGCAUUAUACAUGCACGAAACUCCAAAUGAAAAUAACAUUUUUAUUUCUUUGCUAAGUAGGUUUUUAUUUCGUGAAAAAAAGGUAAAUGAUUUUUUAUACUUAUAGUGCUCUCAACCCUAAGAGAAAUAUCACUAAAUUAAUUAUUAGUUGGUAUCUGUAUAUUUUACGUAGGUACACUAACUUGUAUAUAGAUACCACCCAAAAAAUAUAUAUAUUAUAUAGAUAGAUAAUAAUUUUUGACACUAUAGAUAAGUACAGGGUGUGGCGCUCAAGCCAUUAUACAUGUCUGCAUUUCCAAAUAAAAAAAUAAUCACUACUACAAAAAUUGAAAUAGACGACGGGAAACCACCGUCAUCUAGAAGGUUUUUCAACCGUAGUGAAAUCGAUCACCAUCUUUUGUACAAAAAACGACGAUGGUUAAUACUCGAUGUCGUUAAGGCAUUCAACGUUCAGAUUUAUUACGAACCGAUGUGUAAUUACUAUAUAAUUAGCCUAAAAUGAAAUCUUCGACAACAUUAGAUGACCGUUUUAUGAAAAUUGAGACGUCUAAAGAGUGUUACAUGUUAAGAUCAAAAGAAGAACCGACGUACAGAUAAUUAUCCAUGUCCCAAAAUGAAGGAAAAAAGACUUGGAUAAGAUAGAAACCGUCGUGGUUAAUUUAUACUACGUUAAACAAACAAAGAAACCAACGUCUACAACAUAAACAAUGACGUGCACACAAACCAAUAGACAUUUAAAGAGUAUUACAUGUCAUUUGUCUCUCAAUAACUGUCGUAACAUGCCAUAACCACAUCCUGCACCUGGCAUCACCGACGCUUAUGUAAUUAUCCAUGUUGCGAAAUAUAAUAAAAACCGACGUGUUAAGUUUAUCCCACGUUUGUGUCUUGCGAGAAUCGUUGUUUAAAUUGUACAAAGAAGGCCCUUUGACAGAGUUAGACGUCACUUUUUCUGAAUAACCGACGUUUAAAAGAUUUAAAAUUACAUAAUAUUACUCAAUAUCGACGUGCAAAAUUGUAACCAUGUCAGUUUUUGUCAAAGGAUGACGUUAUAAAUAAUAUUGAAGGUGUGGAUUGGAAAACAACCAACGUAGAUUAUGUAUUCAAUGACCGUGGCAUUAAAAUAAAGAAAGUGGUUUAUUAUUUCACUACGUCUAGAGAUCCACCUGCUUGACGUUGUAAUUGCUUACCACGUCGGUUUUGAUUACAUAAUGUCGUGGUUAUCCUUUCGAAAGUCGCUCAUUUGACCUUCCUUGACGUAUGUAUGCUCGGAGACGUCAGUUGUUUUAGACUAGCCGACGUGCAGAACAUCUGUCACGAUAGUUAAUGGAACUGCAUGGCCUUUAUUUCGGGCUUUAGACGACGGUUUAUUUUAAGCAAACCGACUUCAUUUCUUUUUCAGAUGUAUGUUUUUUUGUUUUACGGUCUUUUGCCUUUUUAAAAUCUGACUUUGUUUUUAUUUUAGACGUCUGUGUUUCCAAUUUUUUUACUGGACCGUCGUACUUUGCAGCUUUAACCCAGCUUUUUUAAUUUUUGAUUUGUCGUGCCCAAAGCCUGCAUAAUCAAAAUGUGAUCAGAAUUAAAAUGAUGUACAGAAUUAUUAAUUAAUAUCAUAAAAUUAACUGAAUAAUUAAUGUCAUACAUUACAACAAUCAAUCAAUCCAUAUAUCUUCACACCCAUCUCUAAUAUUUUCAUUCCCAAACUCACCCACUAGGUCAUCAAAUAUGUCAACAUUUGGUAUCCCCUCUAGUAACUGGCUCACACUCAAUUCUAGUAUCACCUAGCACAUCAUCACCAAUAACAUCAUUAUAUUCUGUAUUAGGCAUUAAUAACACUACCGACAAACCACGAUGCAUUGGGUUGUCAACAUAAAAUACUUGUUUGACUUGAGAAGCCAUAACAAAUUGGUCAUUCCUAUGUCCAAUGUUACUCAGAUCUACAAGGGUAAAUCCAAGUUCGUCAACUACAAGGCCCGAAGUGUUAUCACUACUACAAAAAGUGAAAAAGACGACCAGAAAACAACGACGGUCUAAGUGAAAACCGUCGUGGUUUUUAAAAAGACGACGGUUCUAAAAACACCGUCGUGUAAUACCACCUUAGACAACUAAAAAUGGAGAUUCAAAUGGCUGUUCAAAAACAACGACGUACCUAAUUAAAAAACCGACGUCUAUUUGAAACAGAUUUCCGCAGUGUAAAAUCAAAGCCAACAAAGAACGGCAGAAGUUAUGAAUCGACCGACGUAGAAAGUAAAGACGACGAUUUCAAUAAAAGCCGCCGUUUUUACUCAUAAAAUAACACGACGAAAUUUUCGUAUAAGACGCCGUAUAAUUACAAACAAAUCGACGGCUUUAAAAUACAAAAUGUCGCCGUAUUAAAUUAAUGUACAACGACGGAAAAUAUAAAUAUAUCGACGUCAUUCUCGUAUAGUUCUACGACGUUAUCUUUAAAUCGUACUAUAAAAUUUAACGUCGUAUUUAUUAAUUUUAUACGUCGUACCUUUAAUUUAAACCGUCGUCUUAAUAAGAAUUUUUGUUAACAAUUUUUUCCUUUAUUUUCUUAUCCUACGUCGGUAGAUCUACUUAAUGACAAGAAUUGAAAUCUGUCAUCCAAAAAAGAAACUUUACAUAAUCUAGAACAUUAAUUUCCUUCAUUUUAAAUUUCCUUAGGAAAAAAAACUCUAUUUAUAAAGCACUGUAAUUGAAAAAUAAACUGAAAGGUCACGGGAAAAAAAUUUCUAUUCAUAAUUUAACAAUUCAAAUCCACGUCGGUUAUAUUAAACCUAACGACGUAAAUGAAAAGAUUCCACGUCGCAAAACAAAUAUUGCGUCGUGUUAGUUUAUGGUUUCUUUAAUAGUUUCAGUUUCUUUAACAGUUUGGUCCUUUAUCUUUCUGCAGGACUUGUAUAGUUCAAAGCAUUGACUUGUAUAGUUCAGAGUAUAGUUCAAAGCACUGAUUCGAUUGCUCAUGCUUUAUCGCAUUCAUGAAACCCAUCUUCUUCUUCUGAAGCUCUACGGAUAAAGGAAGAGGCUAUCACAAAUCUGACGGAUCUUCUUAGCCAAGAAAAUCAAGCAGAGGAUCAGGCACAUCUGAUCUUCAGAUUUCCCUGAGAAGCGAACUUUCCUUCGACAGCGAGUGGAGGCCAGGCUUGCAUCUCUUUUAAUGGAAAGCAAGGAGUAUUCAGAAGCACUAAAUGUCCUAUCAGGCUUGAUCAAGGAAGUGAGAAGGCUAGUUGACAAGCUUCUUCUUGUGAACAUAGAUUUGAUGCGAGUAAGCUCAAUUUCUCUUUGAGAAAGACAUCCAAAUUACUGUCUUUGAGAUGUGAGAGACAGUGUCUCUGAGAGAGGAAGAACUUGGAACCCUAAAUGUAAACCGAAAAUGAAUGAAAGCGACAAAUUUAUAGAAUAAAUUUUUAAAACCAACGGCAGUCCUUACAAAAAAACCGCCGUUUAAAUUGCAAAAUCAACGUCGUUAUUACCGACGUAUAUUACAUAAAUCCACGUCGGUAAAUUAAUAAAACCGACGUGUUAAAUGAUCUACCAUGACGCGAGUUAUUACUUAUGUACUUUAAUUUUUGAGUUUACUACGACGGUACCUACAACACUACUGUCGUACUUAUUUACCACGUCCGAAGUUAAACGUACUGUCGUAUUUUGUAAUUUAUACGUCGUAAUUAUAUGUAACCGCCGUAUUAUUUUUUGAAAUGGUUUUAUAUGUAAGCAACUUUUCGUGUACCUGACUUACACAUGCACUGUUUCCAAACCCGAUUAAAAAUUUCAAUCUCCCAGAGAAAACUUUUAGACUUUUUUCCUUGUCAGAGCACUUUCAGAGUAUCUCAUCGUCUUCCUCUCGUCUUCUUCGUCGUCUCUGAACUUAAACAUCGAUCGUCUUUCUCUUGCUUUCAUUGCACGCAAAAGGUAAGCUUUCAUUUUCACUAUUUUGGUUGCUGUUUUGCAUGCUCAUACGUUUUUUGUUUGAAAAAUCUUUUUACCUUUUUUCUGGCCAAAAUCAUUUUACUUCUUUCCAAGUUCGAAAAAAUAUACAGACAAAGAGGGAAAGUUUCCAACUUUGAAGACAACUACCUCAACUAAAUAAGACGACGGUAGCUUCUUAUUUACGUGGUUAAAUAUGUAGACCACGACGGUUCGUCAGUCGUUCUAGCGUCGUCUGAAAAUUGACAAAGUUGUUUUUAAAAUUAUAGUCUUUUUUUUAUUUGCUUGUUUAAUUGCAGGUUUGAUUUCUCUGAACAAUGGUUUUUGUUUUUCCCUAAUUUGAUAAAAUAUAAAGAAAAAGAAAUUAGGGUUGGUAUCUAAUAUAGACGACAGUAUCUUAUUGUUUUACGUCGUGUGAAUGUUAAUACCACGACGUCAUAUUAAAAUACCGUCGUCUAUAUAAGAUUCCAAAAAUUUCUUUCUUGGCCUUGUAUUUUAUCAAAUUAGAAAACAAAAACCAUGGUUCAGAAAAAUCAAAUCUGCAAUCAAACAUUCACAGAGAAAGAAAGAAGGGUUUUGGAUCCUUAUAUAGACGACGGUAUAUUACUACUGACGUCGUGUGAACAUCAAUACCACGACGUUAUAUAAAUAUUCCGUCGUUUAUAGUUUAUUAUUACGUCGUUUGUAGUUAAUUAUUUCGUCGUUGUUUAAUUACCUUGGUUUUAAACAUUUAUUACGUCUGAUAUUAUUUCAUUGCGUCGUUUAAAAUCAUAUCAUACGUCGUCUUUUAUUAAUAACCGUCGUUUGUGUUCUUAAUCUUUUCUUGAAAUAUUUUCACUUGCAGUUUUGUCUGUAAAAAUGGUUUCUCACCAAGACCAAAGUAAGGAUUCUGGCUCCAACAAAAAUGGAGGUAAGGAGCAAGUACCUCCUCAAGAGAAGUCUUCGAAGAUAAUGAAGUCUUCGAAGAAGAUGAAGUUUGCUUCAUCAUCUGCUGAUACAGAACCAACCAGCGCGACAACAAUCUCUAAUGAUUCAAAGGCUGGUCGAGGUAUGAGCACAAUGCCUCGUGUUGUGAAGAGAAAACUUCAGAAACUGAGGCCAAUUGUUGAGUACAAUAAAAGGGGGAAAGGAAUUGGCCAAGCACACAGUGAGAUGCAGUCCUAUAUUGGUGUGUUGGCACGCUCCAGAGUCCCACUUGUGGACUUGAAAUGGGCUCAAAAACCCAAGGAUAUAAAGGAGCAGAUUUGGGAAGCAGUUGACAUUGCUUUUGUAGUAGGUCAAGGGGGCAAGAGCUCUGUCUUAGCUUCUGCUGCCAAGAAAUGGAAGGAUUUCAAGUCUACACUAACGAGGCAUUAUAUCCUUCCAUACACCAAUGACAGGGAGAGAUUAAGCCAACCCCCUGAAACAUAUAAAUUCAUAGAGAAAGCACAAUGGGAUGCCUUUGUAGCUUCAAGGCUAUCCAAAGAUUUUGAGUCUGUGCAUUCUCAACAUGCACAGAUUAGGGAGAAACUCGAGUACAAUCAUCGAUUGUCUCGAAAAGGAUAUGCUGGUUUGGAGGAUCAAUUAGAGGAAACCAUGCCUGGGGUAGAAAUUGAUCGAUCUACCUUAUGGAAGAGAGCUAGACAGGACAAACAUGGUAACAUCCCUGAUCCAAAGGUGGCAGAGAAAGCAAAAAUUAAUUGUAAGCCUACUCACUCUGUUUUAAAUUUUUAUUAAACUGUGAAUAAUUCUUAUUACGUCUUAUGUUAUAUUUUGCGUCGUGUGAAUGAUAUUACCACGUCGACAUUUUUUAAAACACGUCGUUAAAGGUCUAAAUAGGAAUCACAACUCUGUUUUCUGUAAUUAUAGCAUAAGAUGUCGGUGGUUCAAUUUCGCGUCGUCUGUAUUAAAUUACUACGUCGAAAUGUUUUAAACAACGUCGUUAAAGGUUUGAAUAUUGAAUCAUCCCUCUGUUACAUAAGACGUCGGUGGUUUAUUAAUUUCGUCGUUUUAAAAAACUAACCACGUCGGUAUAACUACCGUCGUGAUAAAUUAUAAUAACGUCGAUUUAUAUGUUAUUGCGUCGUGUGAAAUUAUAUAAUACGUCGUUUGUAUAUAAAUAACCGUCGUGUGUUUUUGUUCUUACUUUUUUAUAUAUCUUUGUUUCAGGAUGAUUUGCAAAAACAAGUCUUGGAAGGCAAAGUCACCGUCUCUGGCAGCAAUGAUGUGCUGACCAUGGCUUUGGGCCCCGAGCAUCCAGGCAGAGUCAGAGGAGUAGGUGCUGGGAUCUCACCAAAGCAAUAUUUCAAUUUACCCAAACCACAGAGAGUGAGCUUUGACGACCGUUUGAAGGACAGUUUAAGAGUUCUCCUUCAAGAAGAGACUAGAAAGAUGGAGGCUAAGGCAAGGGAAGAGGCUUUAAGGAUGGAGGCUAGAACGAAACAAUUGGUAGAGGCUGAGAGGGAGCAUUUCCUGAGUCAGCUUUCCCAAUUAAUUCCCAAUUUUGAUCCAAGCAUGCUUAAACCCAGAAUUAGCCAAAGUCCCAAAAAUCCAAUGUCUGACAAAGCAAGCUGCUCUGGAGGUGAUGUGAGAUCCCAGCAUUUUGAGGAUGAUACUGCCAAAAAUGGGAAACAUCAGGAAGAAAAGGUAACAUAUCUGAACUUUGAAUUCUCUGUUUUUUUAAAAACCAUUAGACGUCGUUAUUAUUAAUAAAACCAUCGUUUGAAAUACAUACCACGACGAUGUUAAAAAUAAACCGUCGUUUGUAUUUCAAUACCACGUCGUAUUUAGUUUACUUGUUUUACACGCCAUUAGACGUCGUUAUUUUUAAAACUUUGUGGUUUUUAGACGACGGAGUUAAUCAUUCCCGACGUCAUAGAUGAAGAGAAUAAAGAAGAAAAACAAGAUGAAAAGCAGAAAGAAGAUAACGACCAGGUAUGUUCACAUAAGUUUGCCUUUUUUAUUUGUUUUUCAAAAUUCCAGACGUCGAUAUUUUUCUUUAGACUGUCGUUUGUUUACAACUUAGACGGCUGAAUUGUUUUCUAAGACAUAAUAAAUAAUUCACCACGACGGUUUUUUCACCAUCGUUUAAAUUGUUUUCAGACGACGUUUUAUUCCUUAAACCGUCGUUUUUAUUGAAUUACCACGUCAUUUUUUUUAUUUCUUUAAACAGGUUAAUAAAGUUGUUGAUUAUUCAAAUAUGGAGGCGCCAUCUUNNNNNNNNNNNNNNNNNNNNNNNNNNNNNNNNNNNNNNNNNNNNNNNNNNNNNNNNNNNNNNNNNNNNNNNNNNNNNNNNNNNNNNNNNNNNNNNNNNNNAGUUGAUUUAAAAUGGAGGCGAUUCUUCUUUAAAAACCCUUUGUCGUUUUGUGGAAACGACACUCCUGCCUGAGGAUAAGACAGUCCAAUUUACAAUUGAUAAGGAGGUGUUUGGUGGUGAGCGCGAUACCUUCCUCCUGCCUGAAGAUAUUACACAAUUUGCAGGCAUGGAAGAAAUUGGAGCUACUGUAUUGGCUGUAUAUAUGAGGUUUGUACUUCUAAAAUAAUAACUCGUUGGUUUAUAUAUUGCGUCGUCUUAACUAACUAACCACGUCGUCUUAACUAACAACCGUCGUGAUAAAUAUAUUAUAACGUCCUCAUCUAUUUCAGUACGUCGUUUGAAAUAUUAUAAUACGUCGUUGUUUUAUACAUAACCGUCGUGUUUUGUGUGCUGACUUGUUUAUAUUAUUUUAUUUGUUUAGGUACUUACACGAUGUUUUGAAAAAAGCCAAUAUGUGCAGUAUGGUUGGCUUUAUCGACCCUGCUACAGUUAGUGCCAACUCUGGCACAAUAACUGCCAGAUCACGACUGGUAGCAGCUCGACUUCAGAAGACAGACGGUGAACAGAUUUUCAUAAUGCCUUACAAUCCAGGGUUAGUCUCCUUAGGAUUUUGUUUUUAUGAUUUUCAAUAAAUGACAGCUUAUAAACUAACCACGUCGGUGUUUUAUUUUAUUUAGUCGUUUGAAACUACUAACCACGUCGGUAUUUAUUUAUCGUCGUGAUAAAUAUAUAAUGUCGUCGUUAGCUACUUUACUUCGUCGUGUGAAAUACUAUAAUACGUCGUUUUUGUAAAUAACCGUCGUUUUUAUAUUAAUUUUGUGCAGCCGUCAUUGGAUUUUGCUGAUUGUAAGAGCAAAGAGAGAAACCGUCUAUUUUCUGGAUCCUCUGCCAGGAAAUCGUGUGGUCGAUGAAGAGGCCAAAAACAUCGUGAACAGUGCUUUAAAAUUAUAUAAUACCCACAUAGCCCGAGCAGGACGUAAAAAUGUAAUUUGGAAAACUCUCUCAGGCACACCAAAGCAACCCAGCAAUGUCGAAUGCGGGUAUUAUGUAAUGCGCUUCAUGAGGGACAUCAUCAUGGAUCCUUCCUUGGGGUUUGAGAAUAAGGUAAGAAGAAAUUACCUUCAUACAUUUCACGUCGUUUUUUGUAUUAUCAACGACGGUCGUGUAAAAUUAACGUCGUUGAAUGGAUAUACUACGUCGGUUAUGAAAAAUAUCGUCGUCUGUGAUUGAAUUUCUUUUUAUUAUAAACCCUAAUAGUCAUUGUUUAUGCAGUAUGCCAAGGGAAACCAGGAAGCUUCAUACCCCNNNNNNNNNNNNNNNNNNNNNNNNNNNNNNNNNNNNNNNNNNNNNNNNNNNNNNNNNNNNNNNNNNNNNNNNNNNNNNNNNNNNNNNNNNNNNNNNNNNNNNNNNNNNNNNNNNNNNNNNNNNNNNNNNNNNNNNNNNNNNNNNNNNNNNNNNNNNNNNNNNNNNNNNNNNNNNNNNNNNNNNNNNNNNNNNNNNNNNNNNNNNNNNNNNNNNNNNNNNNNNNNNNNNNNNNNNNNNNNNNNNNNNNNNNNNNNNNNNNNNNNNNNNNNNNNNNNNNNNNNNNNNNNNNNNNNNNNNNNNNNNNNNNNNNNNNNNNNNNNNNNNNNNNNNNNNNNNNNNNNNNNNNNNNNNNNNNNNNNNNNNNNNNNNNNNNNNNNNNNNNNNNNNNNNNNNNNNNNNNNNNNNNNNNNNNNNNNNNNNNNNNNNNNNNNNNNNNNNNNNNNNNNNNNNNNNNNNNNNNNNNNNNNNNNNNNNNNNNNNNNNNNNNNNNNNNNNNNNNNNNNNNNNNNNNNNNNNNNNNNNNNNNNNNNNNNNNNNNNNNNNNNNNNNNNNNNNNNNNNNNNNNNNNNNNNNNNNNNNNNNNNNNNNNNNNNNNNNNNNNNNNNNNNNNNNNNNNNNNNNNNNNNNNNNNNNNNNNNNNNNNNNNNNNNNNNNNNNNNNNNNNNNNNNNNNNNNNNNNNNNNNNNNNNNNNNNNNNNNNNNNNNNNNNNNNNNNNNNNNNNNNNNNNNNNNNNNNNNNNNNNNNNNNNNNNNNNNNNNNNNNNNNNNNNNNNNNNNNNNNNNNNNNNNNNNNNNNNNNNNNNNNNNNNNNNNNNNNNNNNNNNNNNNNNNNNNNNNNNNNNNNNNNNNNNNNNNNNNNNNNNNNNNNNNNNNNNNNNNNNNNNNNNNNNNNNNNNNNNNNNNNNNNNNNNNNNNNNNNNNNNNNNNNNNNNNNNNNNNNNNNNNNNACGUCGUACAGUAAAACAUACGACAUGGUUUACGCUUUAAACGACGUCAUUUUAAUAUGUAAGUCGGUUUAUAUAAUUUACAACGUUUUUAAUUUCUUAACACCGACGUGGUUUCUCAUUUUAACGACGUCAUUUUAACGACUUAGUAGUCUAUUACAAUUUACAACGUCUACAAUUUAUUUAACACCGACGUGGUUUGUUGUAUGGUAAGAAUAUUUUAUUAUUUUUAUAUCAAAAUAUUCAAAAUAAAUAUAAAAUAAAUCAGAAAAUUGAAAAGUCAACUCCUAUGAAGUCAUUGAUAUAUUUUCUUCCACAUAAACCUUGAAAAAAUUCAUUUUGAAUAACAAAAAUUUAAAAUGACCAUCCAAAACAAAAUUGUUUUGAUGAGUCAUAAAAUCACUUCUAGUUUAAUGGUUUAGGGUUUAGAGUCUAGGGUUUAGAGAUUAGUGUUGUUAUUUAUUGGGGUUUAUUUUUAAAGUAUAAUUUUUGGGUAGUCUAUGUUAUAUGUUAGGCUUUAAAACCAUAAAACCUUUUAUAAACUUAAUUUUUUAAAUUGUAUAAUUUAAUUUUAUGGGUUUAGUGUAUUAAUUUUUAACGACGGUGGUUGGGUCGUGGAAUACAUAUUUUACGUCGUACAGUAAAACAUACGACAUGGUUUACGCUUUAAACGACGUUAUUUUAAUAUGUAAGUCGGUUUAUAUAAUUUACAACGUCUUUAAUUUCUUAACACCGACGUGGUUUUUCAGUCGUCGUUAUAUAAAAAAUUCAAAAUAAAUUUAAAAUUAAUCCGAAAAAUGAACGGCCUUACGUUCUUAAUCCGAAAAAUGAAGUUUCCGUCGUGGAAUAUUAAAUUUACGUCGGUACUUGUAGAACUUUCGCCUUGAUUUUUCUUUCGACGUUUUAAAGAGCGCGCGCUCUCAAAAUUUUCGCGCGUCCUAAAUUUUUUUAUAUUUGGCUCUUAAUCUUAUUUUUCUAACCCUGAACCUAAAAUUUCAGAUUUCACGCGACAUAACAUUUCGCUCUCUCACUUCUGCUCUAAUUAAAAGUUGCACUCUCCAGGCUCGUCGAAUCUGUGAGCUCGUCCAACCUGUAAGUACAAACCCUAUCUUCCCCUUGUAAAUUCAUUGAAUGAUAUUAGGUUGUUUUGUUAAAGGGUUUUAGGUAUAUGCUUUGCGAUCUGUUAAUAAUGUGCUUAUAAGUAUGGGUUCAUGGAUUUUCUGUUUAAUGGGUUCAUGGAUUACAUUAUCUGUUAUGUUGAAUUGGGAAUGGAUUUAAUUUUGUCGGAUCUUUUAAUCACCCUAUGUUAUGUUGAAUUGGGAAUGGAUUUAUUGUUUUCAUGCUUGGUUUCAUGUAUAUGUUGUUUUCUUGCUUGGUUUCAUAUAUAUGUUGUGUUCUUAAUGGGUUUUGGGUUCUUGAAAAUAAACUGAGACACGACGCCUUUUUAGGCAUACGACGACGAUUACACGACGGUUUAUGAAAAAACCGUCGUUGUAUUACUUAUACACGACGGUGUUUUCAUAUACCGUCGUUUGUAUUACUUAUAUUAGACGAUGUCUGUUGAAAAUCCGUCGUCUAUAUAUGCCAAAUACGUCUGUUUUUGUUUAAAACCCGUCGUCUCUGUUGUGUAUUACUUGCUAUUAGAUCUUUGUAUAAUCUGCUAUAGUGAUGGUCAUUGCCUGUAUUUUCACUUUAUUAUAGAUAAUAGGUUAUAGUGUCGGAGAUGGAUAAGUCAUGGAUGCACUCGGAUAGAAGAUCGAAGGCAUAUGAGUUUGGGUUGGAAGCAUUUUUGAACUUUGCUGUAGAAAAUCUUCUAACUACAACACAUAUCCGUUGUCCAUGUGUUAAAUGUGUUAAUUUGAAGUUGUUUGGGGUUGGAAUUAUAAGGGAUCACUUAUACUUUAAUGGAAUUGACCAAAGCUAUAAGAAUUGGACAUUUCACGGAGAACCUUGGGAAGCAACUACUAAUGCUAGUAGAAAUGUUGAAGAAGAUGAUGGCCAUAGUAGGUACAGUUUUGUGUCUGAAGAAAUUGAUAUGGAUGAUAAUGAUUUUGGUUCCGAUCCGUAUGAGUUUGCCAAUGUGAUUGGGGAUGGAGAUCAACCAGUGUACCCUGGUUAUAGAAAGUACACGAAGUUAUCGGCAUUAGUGAAGUUGUAUAAUUUGAAGGCAAAACAUGGGAUGAGUGAUGUCUGUUUUACUGAAUUAUUGAUACUUCAAGGCGAUUUGCUUCCAGAAGGAAAUACAAUACCAACCUCUACGUAUGAGGCUAAAAAGACUUUGUGUGCAUUGGGGCUGAGUUAUGAGAAAAUGCACGCAUGCCCCAAUGAUUGCAUCUUGUAUAGGAAGGAGUAUGAGGAUUCAACUAAUUGUCCUACUUGUGGUAUCUCAAGGUGGAAGGAAGGCAAAGAUUCAAUCUUGAAAGAGGGUGUGCCAGCGAAGGUGGUGUGGUAUUUUCCUCCAAUUCCAAGGUUUAAAAGGAUGUUUCAAUCACAUGAGACAGCUAAGAGUUUGACUUGGCAUGCUGCUAGAAAAUCAAUUGACGGUCAGAUGUCUCAUCCGGCGGAUUCCCCGUCUUGGAAACUUCUUGAUGAUAAAUGGCCUGAGUUUGGUAAUGAGCCGAGAAACUUGAGAUUGGCUCUUUCAUCUGAGGGAUUCAAUCCCCACAGUUCUCUAAGUAGCAGAUAUAGUUGUUGGCCGGUUAUCUUAGUUACAUAUAAUCUCCCUCCAUGGCUGUGCAUGAAACGAAAGUUCAUGAUGUUAACCUUAUUGAUUUCCGGUCCUAAACAACCCGGAAAUGAUAUAGACGUCUACUUGGAGCCUUUGAUUGAUGAUUUAAAAUCUUUGUGGGAUGGGAUUAGAGGAGUGUAUGAUGCACAUAAUGGAGAAUACUUUACACUCAGAGCUGCAUUAAUGUGGACAAUUAAUGAUUUCCCCGCCUAUGGAAACUUAUCUGGUUGUGUUGUUAAAGGAUAUAAAGCUUGUCCAAUAUGCGGCGAUGAUACACCUAGUCACAGGUUGAAAAAUGGCCACAAAAUUUGUUACGUUGGGCAUAGAAAAUGGUUACCAAUCAAUCAUCCAUAUAGAAGGCAACGUGCAGCUUUUAAUGGGAAACCUGAAUAUGGCAUACCUCCCGAGCCAUUAACCGGAGAAGAAGUGCUGCAUAUGGUUGAAAAUGGUGACAGAGUUUGUUGGAAGAAGAAGUCAAUAUUCUUUGAUCUCGAGUAUUGGAAAUACCUUCCUGUGAGGCAUGCCCUAGAUGUUAUGCACAUUGAGAAGAAUGUUUGUGAUAGUAUCAUUGGUACAUUGCUGGAAAUCCCUGGAAAAAAUAAAGAUGGGAUUGCUGCUCGAUUAGAUUUAUUGAACAUGGGGGUCAAACCUGAUUUGCAACCCGAGUAUGGAGAAAGACGUACUCGUUUGCCUCCUGGGCCUUGGAAUUUGUCAAGAGCAGAGAAGAGAGAGGUUUGCAAUUCUUUCUAUGGUAUGAAGGUCCCUGAAGGUUAUUCUUCAAAUAUUAAAAAUCUUGUAUCUUUACAAGAUUCAAUACUUCUUGGCCUUAAAUCACAUGAUUGUCAUACCUUAAUGCAACAAUUGCUCCCUGUGGCAAUUCGUUCUGUUUUGGAGAAGCCUGCAAGGUAUGCAAUAACUCGUUUGUGCUUCUUCUUCAAUGCUAUAUGUGCAAAGACUGUUGAUGUUUCCAAGCUAGAUAAGUUGGAAGAAGAUGUAGUAGUUACUCUGUGUUUGCUUGAGAAGUACUUUCCCCCUUCAUUCUUUGAUAUCAUGGUUCAUCUAGUAGUACAUCUUGUCAGAGAAGUUCGUCUAUGUGGGCCAGUAUAUUUUAGGUGGAUGUAUCCGUUUGAAAGAUAUAUGAAAGUGCUGAAGGGGUAUGUUCAGAAUCGUACUCGUCCCGAAGGUUGCAUUGCUGAGCGGUAUAUAGCUGAAGAAGCGGUAGAGUGUUGUACUCAGCAUUUAUCUGAUGUUAGUACAGUUGGAGUGCCUUCAAGCCAAAAGAUGAGACUUUCAAAGCCAUUAUCAGGUUGCACAGUCAGCGUAGUUGAUCAGGACCUGUUGAAUCAAGCACAUCUAUAUGUCUUGGAGAAUACGGAGGAAGUCCUACCUUAUAUCGAGUACGUAUGAGCUUUAUUCUUUAAGUUUCCAUUUUAAAUUAUUUCUUAUGUUUAUCUUCUAUAUUUAGGACCGUAAUGCUUGAAUUUUUCGUGUCAUGUAGGCAACAUAUGAUUCACAUCAAGACUGCUUAUCCAAAAUUUAGAAAGGGAACAAAGUGGCUGCAGGAUAAGCACAAUAGCACUUUCAUUCAAUGGCUACGCUUCAAGGUAUAUGUUGUUGAAUAACAUAUUUCUCUUUUAAUUUUCUUCUUAUUUAUAUGUUAGAUUGAAUUAAGAUAUGAUUAAUUUGCAGGUUCAAAGUGAACUUGAGGAAGACAAUCAUGGCGUAUCAGAAAAUUUAAGGUGGCUAGCAACUGGUCCAAACAUGUCAGUGCCAUUAUAUAGGAGCUAUCUUAUUAAAGGUAUUAAAUUCAAUAUCAAGGCACAAGAUGAUGUGCGGACAACUCAAAAUAGUGGAGUUUAUUUACUUGCACAUACCAUGCAAGUUGCUAGUGCCAAGGAUAAAAACCCAAUUCUCUCAAAUAUGGGUUUCUAUGGUGUCAUUCAAGAAAUUUGGGACCUUGACUACCAAAAGUUUACAAUCCCAGUCUUUAGGUGUGAUUGGAUAGAUAGUUCUGGUCUUGUAGUCGACGAACUUGGAUUUACCCUUGUAGAUUUGAGUAAAAUUGGACAUAGGAAUGACCAAUUUGUUUUGGCUUCUCAAGUCAAACAAAUAUUUUUUGUUGACGACCCGAUGCAUCGUGGUUGGUCGGUAGUGUUAUCAAUGCCUAAUAGAGAAUAUAAUGAUGUUAUUGGUGAUGAAGUCUUAGGUGAUGUGAUAAUUGAGUGUGAGCCAUUUACUAGAGGGAUGCCAAAUGUUGACACAUUUGAUGAACUGGUAGGUGAGUUAGGCGGUCAAAAUAUUCGAGAUGGGUGUGAAGAUAUAUGGAUUGAAUGAUGCUUAUGUAAUUGGCAGUGUAUGACAUUAAUUUUGUAAUAUAUUGUAAUGCGAUUUCUUCACUUUCUACGUUCAAAUAAAACACGACGUUAUUGUGAAUCAGUUAUUCAGCAUAUUUACCGACGUCUUAAAGCAACGUAACAAUGAAGAACCACGACGCUAUUGUGAAGCAAUUAUUCAGGAUAUCACGUCGGUGAAGGAUUAAGAACCGCCAUGUAAUUCAGAAUAACAUGACUCCAAUCCCAUAAUACCGACGUCUUAAAAAUGAGAUAUAUAAUCUGAACAUUAAAAAAUACGACGUCAUCAUACAUUUUCCACGUCGCAAGUUCUUUUAUAAACGAAGAGGAACGAAAUGAAUUCCGACGGAAAUUCAUUAUAACCGCCGUCUAAUAACAAUUAAACGACGUUAUUUGUAAUACGGCUCUCAUCAUAAUCUACGCCGUCUAUAUGUUCUGUAAUACGGCUCUCAUUUAUUUGGAACCGACGUUGUUUAGAAGUUCAACGUCGUCUAUAUAUUAAGUGCGUCGUGAGUAAUGAAUACAUAUACAUACAACGUCGACUAUAUAAAUGUAUACGUCGUAAUAAUGACACUGACAACUAUUCCACGUCAUUUUAGAAAAUCGAAGUGAAAAAUUUAUUUCACGACAGUUUUUGUAAAUAAGAGACGUAGUAGAUUUCAAUAACGUCGUCUUCUCAUGUAUUUAAAGACGUCAUAUUUUUUCUUGUUGUGUAAAUUAUAUUUAACGGCGUAGUAUUUUAGUUGUCGUCGUUGUAUGUAUAUCUUGCGGCCUUGUUCUUUUAAUAUGUGUCAUAUUUUUCCUUUUUAAAGACGGUGAUUUUUUUGAGUUGGUCGUCUAUUCUCAUCCUCGACUAUUUUCUAGAACUUUAGCAGACUAAACACGUCUGUUUUUAUUUUUUCCGACGUUGUUUUAUUUAACAACGUCUAAUAUUUAUCGUCGUUGUUUGUUUCUGAAAAUAGGACGUAUAAAUUUUGUAAUACGACUCUCAUAUAUUUGUAACCGACGUUGUUUAGUUUUUCAACGUCUACUCUAUAAACAUAUACGUCCUAAAUAAUGACACUGACAACUAUUUCCACGUCAUCUUUUAUCGAAAAAUCGAAGUGGAAAAUUAAUUUUACGACGGUUUUUUUUAUAUAUGCGACGUAGUAGGUAUCAAUAACGUCGUCGUCUAAUGUAUUUAAAGACGUCAUAUUUUUUAUUAUCGUGAAAAUUAUAUUUAACGUUGUCGUAUUUGUAUUUUGGUCGUUGUAUGUCUAUCUUGCGGCCUUGUUCUGUGUCAUAUUUUUCCUUUUUAACGACGGUGGUUUUAGAGAGUUGGUCGUCUAUUAUCAUCCUCGAUUGCUUUUUUUAGAUCUUUUUGCAGUACAAAGACGUCGUUUUGUAUUUGUUGAUGACGUUGUAUAUUUUAACAACGACGGUUAUUUAGCGUCGUGGUUUAUGAGGGAAAAGAUGACGGUGGAUUCCACGACCAUUGAAAAACCCAAUACACGACGGUGAUUUACCGUCGUCUUUUUGCUUUUUUGUAGUAGUGGAGACUCAAGAUAUGAUUGCUUGUUUAUAACUAGCUUAAUUUUUGUUAUGACCAUAUUAUUGACAAUAUAUUUAUUUUUAAUGGAAUACUUUAUUUAUUUUAUAAUUAAAAUAAUCUUUAGCUAAGGUAAUGACCUCUCAAAGCAUGGCAUGUGGAUGAUCUAGUCUAACUAAUUGCUCGGUCAGUUACGGUACUAACAAGUUUUGAUAUGGUACGAUCUUAUUUGUAAUUAGCAGUUCCAUUAUCAAGCUAGAGACCAUGUGACGGGCAGACAACAAACCUGCAAAGCUUGGAGUGCAAUAAAUAUUCCAUUCUCACUUCACUUGUGCAGUGUGUUGAACUCCAAUUUUACUAGUAGCCAAGCUCACGAGAAGGGACUAGGGAUGAUAAUGGGUCGGGUAGGGGCCGUGUAUGACAAUACCAUCCUCAUCUCUGGCCUCAUUCCCGAACCCAUCCCCAUUUAAUAGGUUUUGGGGAAUCUUCGUCCCCGUCUCCGUUGGGGGACUAUCUCCCAUACCCGCCCCGAAUCCCCUUUUUUUUUUCUUUUUUUUUUUUUGCAUAAAUUUUUUUUAUCAUACAUUUUAACAUUAAGUUUCAUAUUAAUUUAUCAUUCAACACAUCCAAAUUAACUAUAAAGUUCAACUCAACUAUUCAAAAUCACUUCAAUAUGAAAUUCCAAAGAAGAUUAGGAAGAAUUAGGAGAGGGAGGUAAACUUAGGGUUAAACAUAAAUAUUAUAAUUAUUUAUUUAUUUAAAUAUAAACAUAUCUAUUUUCAGGUCGGGUUCGAGGAUGGGCACCCCAAUAUCAUCCCCUUCCCAUACUCGUCGGGGAUUUUUCAUGUUCAGGGAUUCCCAUACCCGAUACCAAUUUGGCCCCGAAAUAUCCCCCUGUUAGGGUCGGGGACCCGCACCCAUGGGGAUAUUUGUGUUUGGGGGCUGUUGAAAAUCACGGCCGGAUUUGAAGUUUGCAAAGAGAUAGCGGCCGGGCAGUUCGAGUGGAGCUAGAAAUCUCGGCUGGGAUUGGAGAAGUUCGCGGGCAGAGGUGUUGGAGAUCUCGGCCGGGAGUCGUUUGAAGUGCGGCUGGUUGGGCUGUGCUCGAAAGUGGCUAGGCACGGCCGAGACUUGGGAUAUCUAGGCCGGGUUUCGAAGGAGUAUUGCAAUCGAGAUCUGGAGCGGCCAGAGAUGCCCAAGAGAUGCUCAAGAUAGAUUUUUCGGGCAGAAAAAUAUGCGGUUGGGUUUUGUUAGUAAUUGCGAAUUGGCUGAAGGAUUCAUAGGUCAAAAAACUAAUUGUUAUAUAUAUAAGCAAAGAUUUGAGAGGUUUUUAUUUGCAAGCUGCCCACUUAUAUAUAUAUAUUAACUUGGGAGUUCUAGGAAUUCAAAGGUUAGGAGGGGCAUCCCUAUAUUAUUUCAAAGGUUCGGAGGUCCAAGUCCAAGCCAUGAAUUCGAGUCCAAGAUCUCCAGAAGGAUUAUGGGCACGUGACGGAGGCUUCACAAAGAAGGAAAUCAAGGAUGACGAUAAUGACUCCGAAAGUUCCAAAGCAGGAAAGAAUCAAGCAUGUCAGAAUAUUUCCAUCAAUGCAUUCCUAUGGAUUUAGGGGGGCCUUGGAAGGAAAGAAGUUUUAAAAGAGUUGAAUGCAACAACUGUACAGCAAGCUUCAACCGAUGAAAGGGCAUGGCGUCAUGGAAAAUCUUGGCCAGGUCUACAUUCGAGGUUAGAAACUCACAGUAUUUUGAGGAUGUACAUUCCACAGUCGCCCCUGAAACAUAGCGAAGAAGUUGUGAUUCAUUGUACAACAAAUCCAUUUCAUAAGACAAUGUGGUUAGGUGGAAUAUUACUCACCCGCCUACUUGUUGGGGUGCAUCCAUGACGCGAAUAACUGGCCACUCACUUUUCAGAAGUAGACUGUCGCCAAUAUAUCCAGAUUCCUUUAACAACCGGGGCAGAAUUUUCACCACCGGCUGCACGGCCCGUUGGAUGGCUUGAGUUCUGCACAGAUCUACUUUUGAAUCAUAUGCCCUUACCUCACACUCUUUUAAAUCGACAACAAAUAAGAUCCAGUGCUUCUGCCUUUGUAGGUUGAAGGGAAAACAAACGCGAUUCACACAAAACCAUGAUUUAGCCAACUUAGGCCCUUCGCCCUUGACCAUUCCUAGUAGACCCUUGCUGUGCUGCCUAUCCUCCUUUCCCACAUACACCUUCAUUUGCUUGUAAUCCAAGGCAGCACAUUUCUGCAUAGUGGCACACGAGUUAUGCAUCAUAAUGGAUACCGAAUUUGAAAAUAAACAAUGCUUAAGAAAUAAUACAGACCUGAAAAGUGGUGUCCAGUAUCGUCCAGUCAUAACCUACCCAGUUGCUAGAGCUCUUGUGCCGCUCCCAUAGGAAAAGCAAGGCCAUGUCUAUGUUCUACAUAACAGGGUUGUUUCCAUUAUUAAAUCAAUAAAUCACUACAUAGCAUGGACAUUUCAAAAAAUCCCCAAAUCAAUAAAUGCUUACCGAGUUAUCCAACCAACCAUCCUUGGUCAGCAAUCGAACAAAGAAGUUAUGCGAACCUUCCAUACCGUCUCCUCCACAUAACACACAUGUGAACUACAUUUGUGAAUCAUUAUUAUUAUUAAUUCCAUUUCACCAUUCACUCAAUAACUAAUCAUAAUAAACCAUUUACAUUUCACUAAGCAGGGGUAGUGGGAACUUACUUUUCUUCUUGUCCCCAUUCCAAGCAAACCAAAAGGGAAUCACGAGGAACAUGCCUUAGGGGGUCAGCAAUGGUGUCCUAUGAAAUGUUAGGAAUCUCCCGACCUGUCCAUGGAGUUUCCCUCACCACUGCCCUUUGCCUCUUCAUUGCAGGGCCAAGAAUCUCACUCUUUCCCCGACCCCUCUUUUGUCGAACCCCAACUAUAACAUCUUCGCCACAUUCACCCUCAACAGUGGACAUGUCAAUCUUUCGAGGAGGAUUCGUAAGAAAUUUAACAAGGGUGACACACACCACACCCGGGUCUCCCAAUUUAUAUAAUGUAAAAAACAUCUCCAAAGCAGUCGAAUUUGCAGCAUCUACUGUUGCAACCAUUCCUCGUUUUUCAGAACUAUUGCCACUCGAGGAAUUCAUAGCUUCUUUACGGGAUUUCAAAACCAAAGGAAAACCUACAGAAUAGAAAUGGAAAGUACAUAAAGUUCCAAGAGAUCAAUUACUACCAACUAUGAUGUGUAUAUUCUAUCAAGGGCACAACCAACGUUAGUGUAAUGUCCAUAUAUCAACUUUGUAUUAAAGAAAUAUUCACCAUUCACCCAUCUCUGUUCUGUGUCAUCGACAUAACCCGACCAUUUUUUUGGUGAUGAAAUAUAGUAGCAUUACUUACAGUAACUUCUUGGUUUUUGAUCAGAGAAAUGUACUUCAUAGAAACAUGACAAUCAAUGCAAACAAUUAUAUUCUUCAUCACCCUUACUAGUGCACUCUCAGGAGUGUUCAAAAAGCCAAAAGCAAUGAAACCGAUACAGAACUGGUGAGCUAUGAAACCUAUUUCAAAAUUCAAAACAAAAUGAACUACAUAAAAAACUGUCCUUUUACUCUCAUAUUGCAAAUUAUUUGCUCGUGAAAUUUUUUCCAGAAACUUAUUUCCUUUCCUUUCAAACAUCUAUUAUCUCUUGAAAACGUCAAAAGAGUUUUUUUCAUUUUUUAUUUUAUUAUUUUUAAAAUAAUUAAACAAAAAACAAAAAAACGCCAUGAAGACAUGCAUGCAUAUUGGAAGAAAACAUUAUAACCGCUGAAAGAAAAGUAAACAAAAGUGUCUUACUGCAUGCAUAUCUGCAUGAAAGAAAAACAUGCAGAAUAAAGUAGUGCCUUCCACUGUUCCACAUACAAUUCUCACUACAAUUUUCUUUCUGUUUACCCUAAAAUAAACAUGCAGAUUUGAACUUUUGUUUACCCUUCUUUCCGUUGACUUUUAUUUACGCUUUCUUCCCGUAAAAAAAUAUUUAUCCAAUAAGCCCCUAAUUAAUUUCUGUAUGAUAUUCCAAAAUCCUUUUAUAGGUACAAAGUGUUUCAAUAUUACAUAGUCUCUAAUUUCUUGUAGAUGGAAUUAUGAGGUAGGAAUCAAAUAAAGCUAAAAAUCCUACAGAGUUGCGCCCUCAACACCCUUCUAAUUGCACGUGUGUUUUGCAAAGAAAUUUAUUUCAUCAUUGCUUACUAUUCUCAUGCGCAGUACGUAUACUUCUUCUAUAUGAAGCCCAUGCAGCAUGCCAGCCAGUGCCAACUUAUAUUUCCAUCAUUUCAUCACUGCUUUUAUUGAUCAUGGUAUUUAUAGGUUUAACAUCUUAUGUCUUCGUUGAAAACAUAAUACCACAAAUUACAUGAACAUGGUAUUAAUAAUCGAUUCAUGAAUUAAUGCUGGUGGAAUAUUAAAGCACGCCAGAACCCCAUUUUUUUGUUUUUGUUUUUUUUGUUUUUUGUUUUUAAAUUUGAGAAACAGUAGAGAUUCAAUUGAAGUACAGGACACAAACCCAAAAUACAACAGUAAGAACACAGCCCCAAAAGGAGGUUCUUGCUAUUCAGAGACGGUAACAACAUCACCAACUACUCACAAGUAUUACAAGAUAGUUAGAAAACAAAUAUACAACUUGGAACCCAACUAACAAGGAGUUACAGAUGAGAAGUACCCAAAUCCCUACAGCAACCAAUGCUCUUACUCAGUUAAUGUGUAAUUGCUCUAUUAUUAUUAAUAAAAGUAAAAUUAAUUAGAAGUUAGAAAGAAAAUAAAUGAACACCUGCAUUUCAAUACAGUUUUGUAACUUAAACCGUAAGCAUGACUUUACAACAGGCUAUGUAGUACAUAAUUCUUGUAUGCAACAGAUUCCUUGUACAAAACCAUAUGAUACAACAAACAUAACAAUAAUUCAUCCAUUUUGUCCAGCCCAGUCAUUUAACUCCCGGCUUUGUCAUCGAGAGAACUGGCUGAAACUGCAAGAGACUCAACAAGAUAUGAUUGCUUGUUUACGACUAGCUUAAGGCCCCAAUUGGGAUUACUUUUUUUGGCCAAAAACAUGCUUCACUUUAAAGUUAAGCAGUUUAAGGUGUUUGGUAAAAAUAAAAUAUCCUGAUUAUUUCAAAAAUAGUGGCAUUUUGACAGCAGCUUUUAAAAGCAGACUCUGAGUUGCUUUUCAAAGCUGCUUUCAAAAGAAGCAGAGAUGAACUUUUAAUGAAUUUUUUUAAUUCCCAAAAAACCAUCAUUCAUUUUAAAAAAUGACACCACCGCCACUUCCACAUCCAACUCCACCACUUGCACCACCACAUUCACUACCUCCACAACCACCGCCACCACAACCAUAACCACCACCUCCUCCACCACCUUCACCACCACCUCCUCCACCUCCACCACCACCACCACAACCACCUACUCCUCCAAAACCUCCACAUCCACUACCACCUCCACAACCACCACCAUGCUGCCACUACCACUGUAAUAACCCAAACAAAAUAUCCUAAAAUUAGUAUUAAUUUAUUCUAGCGAAAAGACGACUUUGUCCUCACCUCUUUUAAGAGGGGGAAAAGUUGACUUUUUGACCGAGAAGGAAUUUGGGAAUUUCGUUUACGCCGUUGCGUAGAGCACGGCGAAACGAGUUCGUAGACACGGAGUAGACCCGAAUCAGAGUUGUAACGAAGGAGUUAUAGUCAAAAGAGUCUCAGUGGCAGAACCGUAAAUAUUUCGAAGUUCAGUUUUAUAAACCCAGUUUUUCUUCCUUGCGACCAUUUGGACGAGCCAACUUCAGACAGCGGUUUCUCCCAACACGGGCCGCUGUUUCAGGCGAUACCGGUCCCAAACGAACCACCUCACUUCCCUCUAUCAGUUCUGCCCCACCUCAGCCUCCAUCCGCUACUGCAGUAGCCGGAAACAGCCACGAAACAGGCCGGUUUCAACAGUUUUUCUGGAAUUUUUGGGAGCUCGUUCUCCCUUAAUUCUUUUCCGAAUUGGACGAGUAAGGUAUGGUUUUCUACCUAUUUUCCAUGCUCUAGCUGUUGGUUGAGUAGGAUUUCGUUAAUUUUGAGCGUAGUUCAACUGAAUUCCAACUUAGGUUUUUGCCGGUUUUGGGUCUCCGAUUCCGGCCACCUCCGGCCAUUUUUUGGGGGUUGUCCAAGAAUAAAAGUGACUCCAAAUGGGGUGUUUUACCUAGGGUAGGAUUUUGGAGUCUCGGUUCCAAGAUUUUUUCCGGCACACCCGAUCGCUUUGGACACCCGAUCGGUCCGCGCGUGUGGCGGCGCGUGGGCCAGGGUGGUGGCACGGCUCUGGUCCGUUUUGAGACCCUCGUGCCAUCACGAGCGCGUAGGAUUUUGCGGAUCUCAAUUCGGAGUCCGUUUGAGCCCCGAACGGAUUUUCCAUAUUAUGCGAUCCCCGGUUGCAGCGUCGUCUAGCCGUUGGAUCGCACCCCAUUUCGGAUAUGUUGUUCUACAUUGUUUCAGGAUAGCGUAGGAUUCGACGGAUUGCAAAUCGGAGUCCCGGAUACUCCGGAAUCACGAACCCUGGGGCUAGGGUUAGGGUUUUAAGCGAUAGCGCGAUUUUGGCCAAUCCGACCGUCCAUUUCGGACCAAACUCGCAGGACAUGGGUUUUACACAGUGAGGAACCUCUAGAGAAUCCCAGAUCGGCCAUCGGAGAUCGUGGACCCCACGGGGUUCCGGAUCGGCCGGUCUAACAGUUUAUCGCUCGGUAAGGUUUCCGGUCUUUUAAGGCCAUUCUAAUUAUCUGAAAUGCUACAGUGGUCAUAGAGUUGACUUUACAAUGAGAGCACGCAUUUCUAGGAGCCGGGGGUCAGGGUAUUUAAUUUAAUGUUUUUAUUGAGCAGUUUAGUAAUUGAAUAUUCAUGGUUAAACAGGCAUCAGAGGCCAAACUGAACCACAGGAGGGACCUUCAAGAGGUCCAGCUAGCUCGGACCAGCAGUGAGUGGACCUUUCUUUUUUAAAUAAUUUUCUGAAUCAGUUUUAUUCAGUGUGAUUUAUUCCUAUGAAUUUAAAGGUUCCUUCUAUACAUUGCUUAGCUGAUUUUGCUAAAGUUAUUUGGACAACAGACUUUGAGAUUUAUGAUUCAGAAAUAUCUAGCUCAGAUUUUAUCAGAAUACAGAGGAUGUCAGAUUUUAUCCAAGAUAAUUAUUUUAGACCACCAUGAAUUAUAGAAAGCAGAGUUUGAGUUUUCUAUCAGAUAAAAAGGGCAGCACAGUUAUAGAUUGAAUAAAGAUUCAGUUAUUCAUCAGAUCUUUCAGAAAUAUUAUGAUAUUUAUAUUUGAUAUUUUCUCAGCAGUUAAUAUUUUCUUAAACCACUGUGGAUACCCGGUUAUAGAAACAGGUUGCCGUCAAAUAAGACGAUGUCUACGGACAUCCAGAUUGCCUUUGGUUUAUGUUGCCUUCGGAUAUGAUGAUGUCUACAGACAUCCAGUUUACUUUCAGUUACGUCAGUGCACUUGACAUUUGCCUCACGAGUUUUGGGGACGCCCGGACAGUGAGUGCCAGGAUUGCGAAUCAGGCUGACUACGGUCUCCUGAAUCCUGCCAGGAUUGCGAAUCAGGCUGACUACGGUCUCCUGAAUCCUGCCAGGAAUUGCGGAUCAGGCUGACUACGGUUUCCUGAAUCCUGCCAGGAAUUGCGGAUCAAGCUGACUACGGUCUCCUGAAUCCUGCCAGUUUGCGGCUCGGAUACACUAUGUGUCGCCGAGACCUGCCAGGGGAAUUGACGAAUUUACAGAAAAAUUGACGGAUACCAGGAAUUGACGGAAAUUAAAUGGGUACACCCAGUUGGUAACUUUAGAGGAAUGUCAGUGCAAUUAUGCAAAUAUUGAUUUCAGUGAUUUUACUUGAGUUUCUUAAUAUCGAGCAGUAACGGUAUAUAUAUGUUUACCUAAAUGCUUUGGACUUAUCAUAAUUCAAGUGCAGUUUAAAUAUUCAGUCGUAUGAUUAUCAUUAUUUUUACAGUGGGGGUUAUUAUGUUCAUAUACUGUUUUCUAGAACUUUAUUUUGGUCCACUCACACUUUGAAAUGUUUUGCGCCCCCCAGGCAGUCGAGUGUGCAGGAAUCCACCACCAGGCCUUCUCCUAGCUCCCACGCUACUUCCAAGCUGUAGGAUUUCUUGUAACCUACUUAAAUUCUUGUAAACAAUUAGUAACUGCUCUGAUAUCUGGUUGGAUUAGAUAACCAGAACUGGUGAAUAUUUAAUUACCCUAUUCUGGUAGUUGGUGUGGAUUUAUCAGUUUGUUUGACAGGUGGAAAAUUUGGGUUUAGUCAAAUUACAGGGGAGUCUCUGCCGAAAUUAAAGCAGGAGUCCAGAGAAGGUUUUAACCAUAUUUAUCUCCAGGAAGGGUAAAGAGGUCAUUGUGCCCGACAAUUGCCAGGUGUCGGACACGCACAGGGCUUGGCUCGAAUUCCAAAGCGGAAAUUGGGUCGGGUCCUGUCAACCACCCCCACCACCACCACCACCACCACUACCACAACGACCAACUCCACCUUCAUCACCACCACUACCUCCACUCCAUCACUACCACUACCACCACAUGAUUAGUACAUAACACUUUUAACAUCAUGUCCAUUUUAGUCAUUAUUCACAGUUACAAUAAAUUUAUGUUAAAAUUUACCAAACGGUUUUUACACUGCUUUUUGUACUAACAACACUUUAAAAUAUUGUUUACCAGACAUGGAGCUGCUUUACUUUACAGCUAAUUAUUUUCAAAGCACAGCAGAAGCAACUUUUUUUUUUUAAAAGUGACACCAAUUCCAAACUAGGCCUAAUUUUUGUUAUGACCAUAUUAUUGACAAUAUAUCUAUUUUUAAUGGAAUACUUUAUUUAUUUUAUAAUUAAAAUAAUUUUUAGGGUGUGAUGGAAACAUAUUUAAUACAAAAAAAAUAUAUAAGAUAAAGUGAAAGUGCUUUUCCUUUUACCAAACACUUGAACAGAAAAGUCAUUUCAACAUAAUGCCCUUUUUAU
rnacentral:lncRNA from 1 species